rnacentral:lncRNA from 1 species
UCCAUCUUCCUCCAAUGGUGUUUAAACCAAGGCAAUGGAGACCAAAGCUCUGAUACCAAUUGAAAGGAUCGAGAAGAGGUGUCUAGAGGGGGGGUUAUUAGACACUCAACACACAAAGUUGGUAGUUUUUAAGUUUUUCAAGUUUGGGUGAAGUUUAAGCAUAAGUUUAACCAUUCACAAUAUAAAUCAAGCAAGCAUGCAAAGAGUAUAUGAGCAGCGGAAAGUAAAGCAUGCAACUUGCAAGAAAGUAAAAGGGAUGGGGUUGGAGUGUGCAAACGCAAUUGGAGACACUGAUGUUUUUGUCAUGGUUCCGAUAGGUGGUGCUAUCAUACAUCCACGUUGAUGGAGACUUCAACCCACGAAGGGUAACGGCUGCGCGAGUCCAUGGACGGAUCCACCCAAGAAGGGUCCACGAAGAAGCAACCUUGUCUAUCCCACCAUGGCCAUCACCCACGAAGGACUUGCCUCACUAGGGUAGAUCUUCACAAAGUAGGCGAUCUCCUUGCCCUUACAAACUCCUUGGUUCAAGUCCACAAUCUUGUCAGAGGCUCCCAAGUGACACCUAACCAAUCUAGGAGACACCACUCUCCAAAAGGUAAUAGAUGGUGUGUUGAUGAUGAACUCCUUGCUCUUGUUCUUCAAAUGAUAGUCUCCCCAACACUCAACUCACUCUCAUAGGAUUGGAUUUGGUGUAAAGAUGAUUUGAGUGGAAAGCAACUUGGGAAAGGAUAGAGAUCAAGAUUCAUAUGGUUGGAUUGGAAUAUCUUGGUCUCAACACAUGAUUAGGUGGCUCUCUCUCAGAAAAUGUGUAAUGGAAGUGUAGGCGCGAUCUGAUGGCUUUCUUCACGAAUGAGGAGAGGGUGGAGGGGUAUAUAUAGCCUCCACACAAAAUCUAACCGUUACACACAUUAUACCAAACUUGGUGGGACCGAAUCAGAAAACUAGGUCAGACCGAUUCAGUGAAUAUGUGACUGUUAGGCAAUUUCGGUGGGACUGACAUGGUCAACUCGGAGGGAUCGAUGUGCAAGGGUUAGGGUAAAACUUAAUCUUGGUUUGACUGAUUACACAACUCGGUGGGACCGAUUUGGUAAUAAGUAAAAUAGAGAGUUGGUCAGGCAAACUCGGUGUGACCGAUUACAUAUUCUCGGUGAGACUGAAAAUGUUGCAAUGGGCAAUAGAGAGUUUGCAAGCCCAUCUCGGUGAGACCGAGAUUCCAUCGGUGUGACCGAACUGAUUAGGGUUUUUGGCAAUGUCUAUAUCAAAUGAACUCGAUGGAGCCGGAUGGAUCAAAUCGGUGGGGCCGAGUUUCACUUUUGGUUUGGGACAUAUGUGGAUAUGAAAAAGUGGCUGAGGGCUUUGGAGCAUAUCACUAAGCACUUUGAGCAAGCAAGCCAUUAAGCAACACCUCAUCCCCUUUUAAUAGUAUUGGCUUUCCUAUAGACUCAAUGUGAUCUUGGAUCACUAAAAUGGAAAAUUUAGAGUCCUGGACUUUGAGCUUGAGCCAAUCUUUUGUCCUUAGCAUCUUGAAGGGGUUCCACAUCCUUUUAUCCAUGCCACUCCGCUAUUGGGCUUAUCUAAAAUAUACUAGAUGAAAGUAUUAGUCCAACAAGAGAUAUGCUGACAUUAAUUACAAUAAUCACCCAGGGAGCACUUGUGCUUUAAGCAAAGCUGACUCAUCCAGCUCUGGAUAAGGUUUGCUCUCAUUGUCUUUGCUCGAAGACAUAGGAUUUGGUUGAGCAUCACAUCAGUCACUCUGAUUUUGUUCACUUGGACCCCACUUAACAGUAUGGUGGUUCCUAUGACUCAAUAAAGAACAAAGGAAACUACGAAAUGGCUAUGUCUUCGCACUCCACAGUCUUCAAGUGAAUAUCUUCACACGUCAUAAUAUUCAUCGUGAAUGUCUUCACAAACCACCAUUGUCUUCAAUGUCUUCACACAUUUUUAGGGGUCAUCUCUGGUAGGCAAACCGGAUCAAUGAGGGACUACUACUUGUGUUAUCCUGCAGUUCUCACAAACACAUUAGUCCCUCAACCACGUUUGUCGUCAAUACUCCAAAACCAACUAGGGGUGGCACUAGUGAUGACCCACAAGUGUAGGGGAUCAAUCGUAGUCCUUUCGAUAAGUAAGAGUGUCGAACCCAACAAGGAGCAAAAGGAAAUGAUAAGUGGUUUUCGGUAAGGUUUUCUCUGCAAGCACUGAAAUUGUAGGUGAUAGAUAGUUUUGUGAUAAGACAAAUAGUAACGAGUAACAAGUAAAUAAAGUAAAUAAAGUGCAGCAAGGUGGCCCAAUCCUUUAUGUAGCAAAGGAUAAGCCUGGACAAUUUCUAAUAAUGAGAAAUGAGCUCCCGAGGACACAUUGGGGAUUAUCGUCAAGCUAGUUUUCAUCACGUUCAUAUGAUUCGCGUUUGGUACUAUGAUAAUUUGAUAUGUGGGUGGACCGGUGCUUGGGUACUGCCCUUACUUGGACAAGUAUCCCACUUAUGAUUAACCCCUAUUGCAAGCAUCCUCAACUACAAAAGAAGUAUUAAGGUAAACCUAACCACAACAUUAAACAUAUGGAUCCAUAUCAACCCCUAACGAAGCAACGCAUAAACUAGGGUUUAAGCUUCUGUCACUCUAGCAACCCAUCAUCUACUUAUUACUUCCCCAUGCCUUCCUCUAGGCCCAAAUAAUGGUGAAGUGUCAUGUAGUCGACGUUCACAUAACACCACUAGAGGAAAAGACACAUACAUCUCAUCAAAAUAUUGAACGAAUACCAAAUUCACAUGACAACUAAUAGCAAGACUUCACCCAUGUCCUCAGGAACAAACAUAACUACUGACAAAGCAUAUUCAUGUUCAUAAUCAGAGGAGUAAUAAUAUGCAUAAAGGAUCUGAACAAAUGAUCUUCCACCAAGUAAACCAAUUAGCAUCAACUACAAGGAGUAAUCAACACUACUAGCAACCCAUAGGUACCAAUUUGUGGUUUUGAUACAAGAUUGGAUACAAGAGAUGAACUAGGGUUUUGAGAGGAGAUGGUGCUGGUGAAGAUGUUGAUGGAGAUUGACCCCCUCUCGAUGAGAAGAUCAUUGGCGAUGAUGUUGGUGAUGAUUUCCCCCUCCUAGAGGGAAGUGUCCCCGGCAGAACAGCUCUGCCGGAGCCCUAGAUUGAUUCCGCCAAGGUUCCGCCUCGUGGCAGUGGAGUUUCGUCCUGUAAGCUUGCCCACGAUUUUUUCUAGGGUAAAAGUGAUGACAUAGCAGAAGAUGGACGCCGGAGGCCCACCAGGGGGCCCAGGAGAUAGGGACGCGCCCUAUAGGGGGGGGACGCCCCCUGUCUCCUGGACAGGGUGUGGGCCCCUGGCAUAUUUCUUUCGCUCAGAAAUUCUUAUUAAUUCCAAAAGGUUGUUUCGUGGAGUUUCGGGACUUUUGGAGCUGUGUAGAAUAGGUUUCCAAUGUUUGCUCCUUUUCCAGCCAGAAUUCCAGCUUCCGGCAUUCCCCCUCUUCAUGGUAAACCUUGUAAAAUAAGAGAGGAUAGCCAUAAGUAUUGAGAUAUAAUGUGUAAUAACAGCCCAUAAUGCAAUAAAAUAUUGAUAUAAAAGCAUGAUGCAAAAUGGACGUAUCAACUCCCCCAAGCUUAGACCUCGCUUGUCCUCAAGCGGAAGCCGAAAUCGAAAAAUAUGUCCACAUGUUUAGAGAUAUAGGUAUCAAUAAAAACAACGUACGGACAUGAGGGCAUCAUGAUCAUUCUUAUAACAACAACAUAUAUAGAUUUUAUCGUAUGAUUUCCUAUGCUCAAGUAACAAUCAAUUCACAAUGUCAAGUAUGGUUCAAAAACUUCAUUGGGAACUAACAAACUAUAAUCUCAGUCAUUGAAGCAAUUGCAAUUUAUCGUAACAUCAGAAAGAUUCAACAAUAGAGCUUUUCAGCAAGCUCACAUACUCAACUAUCUCGUAGUCUUCUACAAUUGCUAACACUCACGCAGUACUUGUGGUUAUAGAGUUUCAGCCGGACACUGAGAAAGAUAGGGGCUUAUUGUGUUGCCUCCCAACGUAUUCACCUUUAGAUGAUGUCAACAAUAAUAGCCUAUGCUAACUUACAUCCAAUUGGAUAUAUAUAUCAUGAUCUUUCAAACACGAGGAGCUUGCCAAAGGAUAAAAUGAAAAAGGGGAAGGUGAGAAUCACCUUGACUCAAACAUAAAGUAAAAACAAAAGAUAAAGUAAAAGAAAGGCCCUUCGCAGAGGGAAGCAAAGGUUGUCAUGUGCGUUUAGGGUUGAUGCACAAAAUCUUAAUGCAAAAGAACGUCACUUUAUAUUGCCCCUUGUAUGUGGACCUUUAUUAUGCAGUCUGUCGCUUUUAUUACUUCCACAACAAGUUCGUACAAAGCUUAUUUUCUCUACACUAAUAAGUCAUACAUAUUUAGAGAGCAAUUUUUAUUGCUUGCACCGAUGACAAGUUACUUGAAGGAUCUUACUCAAUCCAUAGGUAGGUAUGGUGGACUCUCAUGGCAAAACUGGGUUUAAGGAUAUUUGGAAGCACAAGUAGUAUCUCUACUUGGUGCAAGGAAUUUGGCUAGCAUGAGGGGGAAAGGCAAGCUCAACAUGUUCGGAAGGUCAAUGACAAUAUACUUUAACUGAGAUGUCAGAAAACAUAAACCAUUACGUUGUCUUCCUUGUCCAACGUCAACUCUUUUAGCAUGUCAUACUUAAUGAGUGCUUCACAAUCAUAAAAUAUGUCCAAGAUAAUAUAUUUAUAUGUGAACCCCUCUUUCCUUAUCACUUCCUAUUAAUUGCAACGAUGACCAAGGCUACAUUCAUCAAUUCUCAACAAUUUUUAUGCCUCAUACUUUCUAUGUGUGAAGUCAUCACUAUCCAUAAGAUCAAUAUGAACUCCAUUAUUCUUUCAACUUUCUCAAGAUCAUAGCAACAUAGCAAAGCCUUUGACUCAACACUAAUUUUUAUUAUAGAUAGCUCACGGACUCGAUUACAAAAAGAGAUCACAAAGCAAAACUCAAAAAUACUUGAAAUAAAAACCUGAAUCUACUAGAUCAAGAUACUACUAAAAGGGUCGAACUAAAUAAUGCGGUAAAGAUAGGAGUGUGAUGGUGAUACGAUACCGGGGCACCUCCCCCAAGCUUGGCAGUUGCCAAGGGGAGUGCCCAUACCCAUGUGAUUAUUUCUCCUUCUUCAUGGUUGGUGUUAUGAUCUUCUUGGCGAUGAUGCCCUUCAGGAUACGGUUCUCCUCCUCGAGCUUAUUGACUUGUUGUUUGAGAUCCAUAAUUUCUUUACAGAGCUUGCCCGUAACGGCCGAAGCUCCUUUUACCCAAGGAUGCUGCAUAGCUUCUGGAGAACAAGUGAAACUCUUUUUCAUAUUUUCAUAAGAAAGAAAUCUAGAGUUGGAAGGGAUGACCGAAAUAGGGACAGCCAGGCUAGGUAGUUCCCCCAUAGUGAAUUCUGCUCGGAGACGAGAGGUAACUUCUUGAUCCUCCUCCAUGGCAUCUAUUCUUUUCAAAUCAGCCUCCAUCUCAUCCUCCGUUGAUGGUCCAAAGUGAUAGGCAUCGCUAUUUGCUCCGGGACCUGGCGUUGGGUGCGACACCCGGCUCUCCCCAACUGACUCAUGAGAAGACAUCUUGCUUUAUUCUGCAACAGGAACAACUCGAAACGAAAACAGAGGAUAUUUGCAUGAUACGGUGGUCAAAACCCUCGGGAGUAUAUAUAAUGAAUUUUUACCGACCAAAAUAUGUAACGUGCAAGAAAACAGAGUCCGGGAGGUACACGAGGUGCCCACGAGACAGGGGGGCGCCCUAUAGGGGGGCGCGCCCUCCACUCUCAUGGGAGCCUCGUGUCCCUUUCGGACUACUUCUUCCUUCCUAAAAUUCUUAAAUAAUCCAAAACUGAUAAAAAUUGCCAUUAGAGUUGUUUUGGAGUCGGUUUACUUACCGUACCACAUACCUAUACCUUUUCGGAGUCUGGAACUUUCUGGAAAGUGUCCCUUAUGUAUUCCUCGGGGGUUACGGUUUCAAUAAUAUUAGUUUCAACAUUGAUAGGAUUACCUGAAAUAUAAUGUUUAAUUCUUUGGUCGUUUACCACCCUCGGGUUUGUGCCUUCGAAGUUGUUGAUUUUUAUAGCACCAAAAUGAUAGACCUCCUCGAUAACGUAGGGACCUUCCCAUUUUGAGAGAAGUUUUCCUGCAAAAAAUCUUAAACGAGAGUUGAAUAAUAAAACAUAAUCUCCUACAUUAAACUCACGCUUUUGUAUCCUCUUAUCAUGCCAGCGUUUAACUUUUUCUUUGAAUAACUUGGCAUUCUCAUAAGCCUGGGUUCUCCAUUCAUCAAGUGAGCUAAUAUCAAAUAACCUCUUCUCACCGGCAAGUUUGAAGUCAUAAUUGAGCUCUUUGAUAGCCCAAUAUGCCUUAUGUUCAAGUUCAAGAGGUAAAUGACACGCUUUUCCAUAAACCAUCUUAUAUGGAGACAUACCCAUAGGAUUCUUGUAUGCAGUUCUAUAGGCCCAUAAUGCAUCAUCAAGUUUUUUGGACCAAUUCUUUCUAGAUCUAUUCACAGUCUUUUGCAAAAUUAACUUGAGCUCUCUAUUGCUCAACUCUACUUGACCACUAGACUGCGGAUGAUAAGGAGAUGCUAUUCUAUGAUUGACAUCAUACUUAGCAAGCAUCUUACGGAAAGCACCAUGAAUAAAAAGUGAACCACCAUCGGUCAUAAGAUAUCUAGGGACUCCAAACCUCGGAAAAAUAACUUCUUUAAGCAUUUUAAUAGAAGUGUUAUGAUCAGCACUACUAGUUGGAAUAGCUUCUACCCACUUAGUAACGUAAUCAACAACAACUAAAAUAUGUGUAUAACCAUUAGAGGCAGGAAAAGGUCCCAUAUAAUCAAAGCCCCAAACAUCAAACGGUUCAAUAACAAGAGAAUAAUUCAUAGGCACUUCUUGACGUCUACUAAUGUUACCUAUUCUUUGACAUUCAUCACAAGAUAAGACAAACUUACAAGCAUCUUUGAAGAGAGUAGGCCAAUAAAAACCAGAUUGUAGUACCUUGUGUGCAUUUCUGUCUCCAGCGUGGUGUCCUCCAUAAGAUUCAGAGUGACACUUACGUAGAAUCUGUUCCUGUUCAUGCUCAGGCACAGAACGUCUAAUAACACCAUCUACUCCUUCUUUAUAAAGGUGAGGAUCAUCCCAGAAGUAAUGUCUUAAAUCAUAAAAGAACUUUUUCUUUUGCUGGUAUGUGAAACUAGGCGGUAUAUAUUUAGCAACAAUAUAAUUAGCAUAAUCAGCAUACCAAGGAGCAGUACGAGAAGCAUUGACGACCGCUAAUUGUUCAUCAGGAAAGCUAUCAUUAAUAGGCAGUGGGUCAUCAAGAACAUUCUCUAACCUAGACAAGUUGUCUGCAACGGGGUUCUCAGCUCCCUUUCUAUCAAUAAUAUGCAAGUCAAAUUCUUGGAGCAAGAGAACCCAUCUAAUGCGUCUAGGCAUGAUCAGUGUGAAUAGUAACUUUGGAAUCAACAAUAUAAGAUCUAAACUUAUCACAUCCAAACACAACUGUUAAGAACUCUUUUUCAAUAGUAGCAUAAUUUCUCUGGGCAGUAUCAAGAAUCUUACUAGCAUAUUGGAUAACAUUCAAUUUCUUAUCGACUCUUUGCCCUAAAACAGCACCUAUAGCAUAAUCACUAGCAUCGCACAUAAUUUCAAAAGGUAAAUUCCAAUCAGGCGGCUGAACAAUAGGUGCAGUGAUCAAAGCUUUCUUAAGUACUUCAAAUGCUUCUACACAAUCGUCAUCAAAGACAAAAGGAAUAUCUUUUUGCAAUAAAUUAGUCAGAGGCCUAGAGAUUUUAGAAAAGUCCUUAAUGAACCUCCUAUAAAAACCGGCGUGACCAAGGAAACUUCUUAUACCUUUUAUGUCCUUGGGACAUGGCAUCUUUUCAAUAACAUCAACUUUGGCUUUAUCAACUUCAAUACCUCUCUCGGAGAUCUUGUGCCCCAAGACAAUGCCUUCAUUAACCAUAAAGUGACACUUUUCCCAAUUCAAGAUGAGACUAGUGUCUUCGCAUCUCUGCAAAACUCGAUCAAGGUUGCUCAAACAAUCAUCAAAGAAGGAUCCAUAAACGGAAAAUUCAUCCAUGAAUACCUCACAAAUCUUUUCACAAAAAUCAGAGAAUAUAGCCAUCAUGCAUCUUUGAAAGGUAGCAGGUGCAUUACAUAAACCAAAAGGCAUACGUCUAUAAGCAAAAGUACCAAAAGGGCAAGUAAAAGUAGUUUUAGAUUGAUCCUUCGCUGACACAGGUAUUUGAGAGAAACCAGAAUAACCAUCUAGAAAGCAAAAAUGUGUGUGUUUGGAUAGUCUUUCUAGCAUUUGAUCAAUAAAAGGUAAGGGGUAAUGAUCUUUCUUAGUAGCUUUAUUUAACUUACGGAAAUCAAUUACCAUCCUAUAACCUGUAAUAAUUCUUCGCGGGGUCAAUUCAUCUUUAUCAUUAGGAACAAUGGUAAUACCUCCCUUUUUAGGAACACAAUGAACAGGGCUUACCCAUUCACUAUCAGCAGAGGGGUAAAUAAUACCUACCUCAAGGAGCUUUUGUAUCUCCUUUCUUACCACUUCUUUCAUCUUGGGAUUUAAUUGUCUUUGAGGAUCUCUAACUGGUUUGGCAUCUUUCUCCACUGAGAUUUUGUGUUGACAUAAUGUGGGACUAAUGCCCUUAAGAUCAUCCAGAGUAUAUCCAAUAGCUGCUCGGUGCUUCUUCAUAGUUUUCAAUAAUCUUUCUUCUUCUUUCUCUGAAAGGUUAGCACUAAUAAUAACAGGAUAUAUUUCUUUUUCAUCAAGAUAAGCAUACAUAAGAUUAUCAGGUAAGGGUUUAAGUUCAAACACGGGAUCACCCUUGGGUGGAGGGGGGUCCCCAAGAAUUUCAAUGGGAAGGUUAUGUUUCAGCAUAUGAUCCUGUUUAAGGAACACUUCAUCUAUUUCCUCCCUUUCCUUCAUACACAUAUCGUUUUCAUGGUCUAGCAAAUAUUGUUCUAACGGAUCAGUUGGAGGAACAGCAAUGGAAGCAAGAACAAUAAUCUCAUCCUUACUAGGUGGUUCCCUUUCACGAGGUUGUCUACUAAACUUAGCGAAAUUAAACUCAUGAGACAUACCAUCUAUGCCAACAGUGACAAUAUUCUUUUCACAAUUAAUCUUAGCACUAGCUGUAUUCAAGAAGGGUCUACCAAAAAUAAUGGGAUAAAAAUCAUCUUGUGGGGAACCAAGAACAAGAAAAUCAGCAGGGUAUUUAACCUUCCCACACAAAACUUCGACAUCUCUAACAAUCCCAAUAGGUUUAAUGGUAUCCCUAUUAGCAAGCUUAAUAGUAACAUCAAUGUCUUCUAAUUCAACGGGUGCAAUGUCAUGCAUAUAUAAGGUAUUGCACUAGCACUAGCACCCAUAUCACAUAAGCCAUGGUAACAAUGAUCUCCUAUUUUAACAGAAAUAACAGGCAUGCCUACGACAGGUCUACGUGUGUUAGUAUCGGGUCUAGCAAUAUUAGCAGUCUCACCCAAGAAAGAAAUAACAUGCCCAUCUAAGUCCUCAUCCAAGAGAUCUUUAACCAUAGCAAUACUAGGUUCAACAUUAAUUUGCUCAGGAGGUGUAUAAGUCCUAGUAUUACUCUUACGAACAACAGUCGAAGCUUUAGCAUGAUCCUUUAUCCUAACAGGAAAAGGAGGUUUUUCAACAUAAGCAGUAGGAACAAUAGGAUCACUGUAGGUAAUAGUCUUUUCUUCGACUGUAAUAGGUGCAACUACUUUCACUUCAACAGGAGGAUUAUAUUUAAACCACUUCUCUUUAGGGAGAUCAACGUGAGUAGCAAAAGAUUCACAGAAAGUAGCUACUAUCUCAGAUUCAAGUCCAUACUUAGAGUUAAAUCCACGGAAAGCAUCGGUAUCCAUGAAAGAUUUAACACAAUCGAACUUAGGUGUCAUACCUGACUCCUUACCAUCAUCGGAACCCCAAUCUUCAGAGUUGUGUUUAAUUCUUUCCAAUAAGUCCCAUUUGAAAUCAAUAGUCUUCAGCAUAUAAGAACCAGCACAUGAAGUAUCGAGCAGGUUGCGAUUAUCAAGAGAAAGUCGAGCAUAAAAGUUCUGAAUAAUCAUUUCCCGAGAGAGCUCAUGAUUGGGGCAUGAAUAUAACAUUGACUUAAGCCUUCCCCAAGCUUGAGCGAUGCUUUCUCCUUCGCGAGGCCAAAAAUUUAUAUAUGUAAUUACGAUCACAAUGAACAGGAUGCAUAGGAUAGAACUUCUGGUGAAAUUCCAACUUCAACCGCUUAUAAUUCCAAGAUCCCGUAUCAUCACAUAUCCUAUACCAUGUCAAUGCAUCUCCCUUCAAAGAUAAAGGGAAGACCUUCCUUUUGACAACAUCAUCGGGAAUACCUGCAAGCUUAAAUAAUCCACAAACUUCAUCCACAAAGAUAAGGUGUAAAUCAAGAUGCAAUGUUGCAUCUCCUGCAAAUGGAUUAGCUAGCAGUUUUUGUAUCAUACCCGAAGGAAUCUCAAAGUAAAUAUUUUCAUGAAGUUCAGUAAGUUGAGGAGCAACCCUUUGCUCUUCUGGUUCGGGUGAAGAUACCCCAAACAAGCCCCUCAAAGGAUUAGUUUCCAUAGUGACAAGUAACAGAAAAUUUCAGCACACUAUAUAAAUGUUUCCUUACCAAGUUCCACUCACCAAAAGCACUACACUCCCCGGCAACGGCACCAGAAAAGAGUCUUGAUGACCCACAAGUGUAGGGGAUCAAUCGUAGUCCUUUCGAUAAGUAAGAAUUUCGAACCCAACGAGGAGCAGAAAGAAAUGAUAAGCGGUUUUCGGUAAGGUUUUCUCUGCAAGCACUGAAAUUGUAGGUGAUAGAUAGUUUUGUGAUAAGACAAAUAGUAAUGAGUAACAAGUAAAUAAAGUAAAUAAAGUGCAGCAAGGUGGCCCAAUCCUUUAUGUAGCAAAGGAUAAGCCUGGACAAUUUCUAAUAAUGAGAAAGGAUCUCCCGAGGACACAUUUGGAAUUAUUGUCAAGCUAGUCUUCAUCACGUUCAUAUGAUUUGCGUUCGGUACUUUGAUAAUUUGAUAUGUGGGUGGACCGGUGCUUGGGUACUGCCCUUACUUGGACAAUUAUCCCACUUAUGAUUAACCCCUAUUGCUAGCAUCCGCAACUACAAAAGAAGUAUUAAGGUAAACCUAACCACAGCAUUAAACAUAUGGAUCCAUAUCAACCCCUAACGAAGCAACGCAUAAACUAGGGUUUAAGCUUCUGUCACUCUAGCAACCCAUCAUCUACUUAUUACUUCCCCAUGCCUUCCUCUACGCCCAAAUAAAGGUGAAGUGUCAUGUAGUCGACGUUCACAUAACACCACUAGAGGAAAAGACAACAUACAUCUCAUCAAAAUAUCGAACGAACACCAAAUUCACAUGACUACUAAUAGCAAGACUUCACCCAUGUUGUAACGCCCCGGAUACAACUUUCCAUAUUCGUAACUCCGACUCUUGCCUUUUCCGGAGAUGCUAUAUGAUAUUUCCUUCGUGGUUGGGUUUUUGUCGUUUGUUUUGCAUUUUGUUCUUGUUAUGCAUCUCAUCGCAUAGCAUCAUGUGCAUCGCAUCCAUAUGUUUUCAUAAAACUUGCAUCUGUUCGGGUUUCCCCGGUUCUCUCCGUUGUCCGUUCUGAGCCCGACCACACUCGCACGCGCCCGCGGCACCUCCGUAAUAUUAUUUUAUAAGUGGCAUAAAAAUGUUCUCGGAAUCGGUUGCAACUUGUCGUGCGGUCUUAUUAUAGUGUAGACAGGCCGUCUGCCAAGUUUCAUCGCAUUCGGAGUCCGUUUGAUAGCCCAACCCUCAUCCGUAGCGGCACCGUUGCCGGUUUAUUCGUCGGACGUUUCGGUCUCCGAAACUGCCGCCGGGCUGCACUUCUCUUCUCUCCUCUCGGCCCAAGCCUCUCUCUCACACAGCCCACCUGCAGCCCACCUAACCCCCCUCCACUCCGGACCGUCCGAUCGAGAUCGAACGGCUCCGAACCGGCCUCAAACCCCCCAAACCCUAGCAAUUUUGCUAUAUAUAGACCCCUUCCUUCCAUUUUGGGCAGCCUAGCCCCUCCCCUGCCUCCAUUUUCCGUGCCUGGCCACCUCCUGCCCGCCACUUGGCGCCGCCGUCGCCACGUCCUUCCAGCCACUCCUAGGGCGCCACCUCAGCCAGCCGCAGCUCCCCUCCAAUUCCCUCGUGCCACAUGUCCCUGCCUCGCUCCCCCCACCAGUCAGCGCCGCCAGGACCCAGAUCGGGCCCUGGGAGGCCCGCCCGAGCCCGCAUCCCGCUCUCUCCGCCCGAGCGCCCGAGCACCUCGCCUCCUCGCCCGCUCGCUCGAUCGAUCCAGAUCAGGAGAGGAGCUCCCGAUCCAGAUCGAACCCCGCCGCCUCCCGGCAUCUCGCCGCCGCCUGCACCACGGUGACCCCGCCGGAGCUGCGUCAGAUCUGGUGAGCCCCGACCUCACCGCCCUUCUUCUCUCCUUCCUCACUGCCUCUCUCUCUCCCGCAGGUUGCCGCCGCCGCCGGAGCUCCGAGGCAGCGCCGCCGACCCCUCCGCAGGCCGGAUCCGGCCCCCCCACGGCCGAUUCGGUCCGUUCCGUAGUUCGCCGGACCUGCCCCGGUCCCCUCCCGGCCUCCCUGCGCUCUGGCGCCGCAGCGCCCUCUGCCAUGGCCGCCCCUUCCCCUCCUCGUGCGGGAGGACGAGGGGCACGACGAGUGCCCGCUUGGACCGGCCCCGUUCGCGCGUGGGCCCCGCAGCCCAACCGUCAGCCCAGCCCAGCUCCUUCCACCGCCUGGCCUGCCUCCAGCCUCCACGCCGAUCUGGGUCAAGCCCAUGGGUGAGGCCCCCAGUCCCAGCUCUGUUCAGAUUCGUCCCACAUAGUGUUUUUUUCCUGUUCAGCGAUUUUACUAACUAUCCAGGGAAUUACAGAUUUGCAGAUUGGACCCUAAACUUCAUGCAUAUAAUAACUCAUGAACCGUGCAUCAUAUUAAAAUGUUUUAUAUAUGUAAAAUGCUCAGAAAAUUGUGUAGAUUAAUAAUAUGCCAUUUUCAUCCAUGUUUAAGAUGUUUAACAUGCUGUUUGUGUUAAUUUCCAUAAAUGCCAUGGUAAAAUGCUUCAAUUCAUAACUAAAUAACCGUAGCUCGGUUUUAAAUAAACUUUAUAUGUAAAUGGGUUGGAAAAAUGCCUAGUUUAACAUGGUGCAAUUUAUUUUCCUGUUUAACAACAAUAAAAUGGUGUUUAGCGCAGAACAUUACCGAAUCUUAAAUAUGCAUAUGGGGAUUUUCCGGACUUGAUGUUUGUGGUUUCCGGCCUCAUUUAAAAUUGCCUAGAUAGGUAGUUUUCAUAUGCUUCACCCCUUGCCAUGUUUAAUAACAUUUAAUAUUGUUUGGUAGCUUAAACGAGAGAGAACUAAAUAUUUGAUGUGGUGUUUUGUUAAUAUGCAACUCGUUGCAUAUUGAUCUCCACUUAACUUGUAGUAUUGUUUGGUUGCCUUUGCCAUGCCAUGCUUCAUUAAACCGAACAUGCAUCAUACUUGUUUGUGCAUCAUGCCAUGUUUAUGCUUGUGCAUUUACCAUGUUGUUUGUUUCUUUCCGGUGUUGCUUCUUAGUUCCGGUAAUGUUGCGAUUGUGAGGAUCCGUUCGACUACUUCCGUUCGUCUUCUUCAUGGACUCGUUCUUCUUCCUAGCGGGAUUUCAGGCAAGAUGACCGCUACCCUGGAUCUCACUACUAUCAUUGCUAUGCUAGUUGCUUCGUUCUAUCGCUUUGCUGCGCUACCUAUCAUCUGUUUGUCGAGCCAUCCCAUGUUGCCAUGAACCUCUAACCUUUGACACCCUUCCUAGCAAACCGUUGCUUGGCUAUGUUACCGCUUUGCUCAGCCCCUCUUAUAGCGUUGCUAGUUGCAGGUGAAGUUGAAGAUUGCUCCAUGGUGGACAGGAUUUUGGUUGGGAUAUCACAAUAUCUCUUAUAUUAUUAAUGCAUCUAUAUACUUGGUAAAGGGUGGAAGGCUCGGCCUUAUGCCUGGUGUUUUGUUCCACUCUUGCCGCCCUAGUUUCCGUCAUACCGGUGUUAUGUUCCCGGAUUUUGCGUUCCUUACGCGGUCCGGUGAUUUAUGGGACCCCCUUGACAGUUUGCUUUGAAUAAAACUCCUCCGGCAAGGCCCAACCUUGGUUUUACCAUUUGCCUCACCACCACCUAUAUUUCCUUUGGGAGUAAUUAACCCAAGGGUUAUCUUUAUNNNNNNNNNNNNNNNNNNNNNNNNNNNNNNNNNNNNNNNNNNNNNNNNNNNNNNNNNNNNNNNNNNNNNNNNNNNNNNNNNNNNNNNNNNNNNNNNNNNNNNNNNNNNNNNNNNNNNNNNNNNNNNNNNNNNNNNNNNNNNNNNNNNNNNNNNNNNNNNNNNNNNNNNNNNNNNAGCCCCCCCCCCCGGGCCAGUGCUUGUCUAAGUGUUGGUCCGAACUAGAGCCCUUUGCAGCGCCCCCUCAGGGAAACUUGAGGUCUGGUUUUAGUUGUACGGAUUGCUCAUCCGGUGUUGCCCUGAGAACGAGAUAUGUGCAGCUCCUAUCGGGAUUGUCGGCGCAUCGGGCGGUCUUGCUGGUCUUGUUUUACCAUUGUCGAAAUGUCUUGUAAACCGGGAUUCCGAGUCUGAUCGGGUCUUCCUGGGAGAAGGUCUAUUCCUUCGUUGAUCACGAGAGCUUGUCAUGGGCUAAGUUGGGACACCCCUGCAGGGUAUAAUCUUUCGAAAGCCAUGCCUGCGGUUAUAGGCAGAUGGGAAUUUGUUAAUGUCCAGUUGUAGAUAACUUGACACCAGAUCCGAAUUAAAACGCAUCAACCGCGUGUGUAGCCGUGAUGGUCUCUUCUCGGCGGAGUCCGGGAAGUGAACACGGUCUUUGGGUUAUGUUUGACAUAAGUAGGAGUUCAGGAUCACCUCUUGAUCAUUGCUAGUUUCACGACCGUUCUGCUUGUUUCUCUUCUCGCUCUCAUUUGCGUAUGUUAGCCACCAUAUAUGCUUAGUCGUUGUUGCAGCCUCAUCACUUUACCCCUUCCUUUCCCUUUAAGCUUUGCUAGUCUUGAUACCCAUGGUAAUGGGAUUGCUGAGUCCUCGUGGCUCACAGAUUACUACAACAACAGUUGCAGGUACAGGUUAUGCGAUGAUCAUGACGCGAGAGCGAUGCUUGCUUGCGUUGAGUUCUUCUUCUGCUUCUGCUUCGAUCAGGGGAUAGGUUCCAGGUCGGCAGCCUGGGCUAGCAGGGUGGAUGUUGUUUGAGUUUCUGUUUGUGAUUCAUCCGUAGACGGAUGAUGCUCUUAUUUAUUGUAAUGUUGUAUUCGUGUGGCAUUGUAUGCCUUAUGUAUGUAUCCCCAUCUAUUAUGUAAUGUUAAUGUAAUGAUAUCCACCUUGCAAAAGCGUUUCAAUAUGCGGGUCUAUCCUUGGUGGGACCUUCGAGUUCCUUUUGGAUAGGGUCGCAUAUUGGGCGUGACAAGUUGGUAUCAGAGCCUCGACCGACCAUAGGAGCCCCCUUGUUUGUUGGCCGUUGUUGAGUCUAGAAGAAAACUAUUUUGAGUCUUAGGAUUAUAUAUAUCGGAGAGUAGGAUUCUUUUUACUCCUCAGCCCCUUCGUCGCUCUGGUGAGGACUCCUGAUGUAGAUGUUUUGUCUUUCCUCUCCUCAAAUUUCACUAAAAAAAAUUUAGGAUCACGCAGGUAUCUUGGAAUCGUUCCGAUGGUUUUGUGACGAGAACAUUGUUCUUGGUGCCUCCUGUCUAUUUAUGUGGCAUUGACCCGGGGAAUUGAGCUCUGAGGUGUUGUCGUCACAAUUUUAUCGUUGCAGUUCUGGAAUACCUGAGAUUUGUCGACAUCGAAAAUCUCUUUUAUGCAGUUGUUGGUGAGAUAACCCCGAUAACCCAGUACUGGGGCGAGCUCGGGAGUAUUGCCAUAACUCGUAUAACGGAUGCUUUUCGAAGGUUGAGGUACACGAUUUCUAGAGUUUUCUUGGUUAUGUGUUGACGGAUGGAUACAGCUGGAUGUAGGUAUUGUUAGUUUGGGUGAGAUAUAUUGCUUCCCCUGUAUCCCCAACACCAGAUUGCAUAACCAGAGAGUUUCGGGAGUUUUAUAGGUGGGAAUUCAAGUAGCUCUUAGAAUAUCUUUCCAACAGAUGCAUGAUAUGGGAUUGGAUAAAUCUCUAUCAUAUGUAUUUGUUUCGGCUUAUUUCUGCAAGCCAAAUCCUUUGUUUUGUUUUAUUUGUGGUAUUCGAGUUGCUUCAAUGUCAAGUGUUGAAUCCAUACCUUUCCUAAACGGUGUUCUCAUAUUGCUAUGUGAAUACUAAUCCUUUUGAUCAUUGAGAUUGUCAUGUCAAUUCUUUUUCAACCAGUGUGCUUCUCUUCAAGUGGAUCCGAUCAUUCUCCCCAUCCGCAAGAUCAAUUCUAAGUUUUUCUCAAUGGUAUCCAUUCCAUCUGCCCCAAGUUGCCUUUGUUUUCCCGCCCUCCCACCCUUUUUCUUCAAGGACUCAGAUUUUUUAAUCAAGUAUCCAUUUAUUCAUGUGAAGUCACUUCACUCUUCUCAAUCAAUGUUCUAAUCCGGUGAUCCCUCGUGAAGAUGCUCACGAGCUUCAAGUUCAUCAUCCUUCGUUCUUUUUCUUCUCCGGUGGAUUUAAUUCAAGCUUUCGGUGUUGAUCAUAUCCCUUUCCUCGCUUCAAAUGUUUUUCCACGUCGGUGCACCUCUUAAUUGUUCACCUCUCUCUAUUCUUAUCCGGAGUGCUCAAGAUAUCUCAGAAGACUUGUGUUUCCAUUCUUAAUCCGUUGAAUCUAUUUGGAGAUCAUUAUCUCAUUCAAGCUAUUUAAUUCAACCAGUGCAAUCUCUCUUUAAAAUCAUUUCCAACGGUGUUUUAUUUUCAGUGGGCCCUAGCCCACAGGUCUUUUCCCAGGAUCUUACCUGACUCUUCUAAUUUUCCUCGAGCCAUUCCCAAAUUCUUUUCCAAGUUUGACGUAAGAAUGAAUUCUCAUCAGCCACAUGCCUUUUCCAAGAUCGAUUUCAAAUCAUUUCAUUGUUGGCUCAACCUCUUCGCUUGUCAUCAUACCGGAGUAUCUCAGUAAUUUUGCUGGUGUUCCUCGUCGUCAUUCUCAACAUUUGAAGACCGAAGAAGAGUUUCUCUUAAAUCUUGCUCCAUUCUCUUCAAGAUUCAUGGUUCUAGCUUCAUGCUAUCCUCAUAAUUGUUUUGAUUGUGACAAUUCUUUUCUUACCAUCCGGAGCAUUUCAUGAGUUGUUUUCAUUUCUUUCCUCCGAAGGCCAUCAUGUCAUAAUUAUUCAUUCAAGCUUUCAGCUCUCGUUCUCCAAAUCUUACCGGUGCAUCAUUCAAGUAUUCUCUAAUAAGCUCAUGAUCUCUUCAUUCACUUGUAUCUAAAUCGCCUCAAGUAUCUUCAUUCGUUUUCCAAUUCUUCCUGGUGAAUUGUGCCUUUGCUAUGGUCUUUUUCAAUUCUUUCGAUGGUUCGUUAAAGAUUUCACUUUCUUCGUUAUCGUAUCAAUUCAUCCAUUCAUUCGUUGUUUCCAAAUCCCACCGGUGGUUCCAUCAAUACCUUCUCAAGUUUGCGCUAUAUCCCUCUUAAUCCUUUCUACGAGAAUAAGUAGUAUGCCAAAUCCAUUGCUUGUCAUCAAUUUAAUUUGAUCAAGGAUAAGCAUACAAUAAAUCUUAUUCUUAUUUCCUCGAGGUGAUUCAAUUCUUUUAUUUCCGGAGUUCCAAGUUUUCUUGGUUAUAUCGUCGCAAAGCUCCAUCUAAAUCAUCGCAAGGCUUCACCUUGUGUUUUCAAGUUCUCUUUCUUUUAUCAUCCUUUCAUUACCAGAGUUCUUCAUGGAGGCUCUACAUGGUGGUUCGUCAAGGAUUCUUUUCAUUCUUCAAUUGUUCUUCAAGAUUUCUCUCGAAGCUAUGAUCCGCCAAGCUAUACUCAAAAGUAAACAUGGUGUUCAACACAUGUUUUGUUUUGAGGAGUUCAAGCAUUCUUCAUCUUGCAUUCUGAAGUGCAAUUCUUUCUACCUUAUCUUUUGAGGUGGUGUUAUAUCAUUCUUGACAAUUUUCAUUCAUGUUUCGCGACUCACAUAUUGUCAAGAACGAGGUAUUUUAAAUCCAUCAAUCUCUUCCUUGGAGUUAUUUUGGUAUAGAUUUCACCUAAAGCCUUCCCUAAGGAAUGUUGCUAUUGUGGUGCUUAUCUAAGAUCCAAGUUUUUCUCCUAUCCUCGCGGCGAAAGCAGUUUUCAUCUCUUCGUUGAUCUCAAACAAGCAAUUGUUUCAGUUAGUGGCCGGUUGUCACCUCAUAAUUUUGAGAAGUUGUCCAUAAGCCCACUACAAGCUUAUUCUUUUCGUUGUUGGUUUUCCAACAACUCCAUUCAAUCCUUCUUUGCAAGGAUGCUUUCCAAGUUCAUUUGUGGCAGAAAUUGUCAUUUUCUUCUCCGUCCCUUUAUCCCAACAAUCUAGCUUCUAUUCUUUCAUUCCGGAGGCAUUGUGAUGUUGCUCUUUUCACUCAUCAUCUUUCUUUGGCAAGAUCAUGUUCUUCUCCUUGCUUCUCCAUUUAACUAGAGUGUUGUGUCAUCUCUUCAAGUUCUUUCACCUUAUCAAGUUUUGCCUCUCUUUUCAACCGGAGUGCUGUCUGAAAUCUUUCUUACCCCUUGUGCCAUUCCUUCAAUAGUUCUGGAGGUAGUGUGUUGUUGAUUUCAUCAAGUAUCCUCUCGUCUUGUCAAGUUCAUGUUCAAUUUCUUCCUUUUACAGUCGGAGUGCUGUCAAAAUUAUAUCAUUCUUAUUCAUUCUUAUCUCGUUUCAACCAGAGUGGUCUCAAUUCCUUCUUGUCCAUUGUGCUCGUUAUUCAUGUCUUUGCAACCUUCAAGUUCUCGUAAUGUUCCUUCUUCCUCCUUUCUAACGGAUUGUUUGCAAUCUCGUUCAUCUCUAAUUGCUCAACCUCUCAAGGUUCGUGGUUUCACUCAUUGGUCGAAGAAGCAACUUAGUUUUACCGCUUAUCUUCCUCUUCCUUUUCCCUACGGUGCCAUCCUAGAUCUCGGGACGAGAUCCUCUCGUAGUGGUGGAGUGUUGUAACGCCCCGGAUACAACUUUCCAUAUUCGUAACUCCGACUCUUGCUUUUCCGGAGAUGCUAUAUGAUAUUUCCUUCGUGGUUGCGUUUUUGUCGUUUGUUUUGCAUUUUGUUCUUGUUAUGCAUCUCAUCUCAUAGCAUCAUGUGCAUCGCAUCCAUAUGUUUUCAUAAAACUUGCAUCCGUUCGGGUUUCCCCGGUUCUCUCCGUUGUCCGUUCUGAGCCCGACCACACUCGCACGCGCCCGCGGCACCUCCGUAAUAUUAUUUUAUAAGUGGCAUAAAAAUGUUCUCGAAAUCGGUUGCAACUUGUCAUGCGGUCUUAUUAUAGUGUAGACAGGCCGUCUACCAAGUUUCAUCGCAUUCGGAGUCCGUUUGAUAGCCCAACCCUCAUCCGUAGCGGCACCGUUUCCGGUUUAUUCGUCGGACGUUUCGGUCUCCGAAACUGCCGCCGGGCUGCACUUCUCUUCUCUCCUCUCGGCCCAAGCCUCUCUCUCACACAGCCCACCUACAGCCCACCUAACCCCCCCUCCGCUCCGGACCGUCCGAUCAAGAUCGAACGGCUCCGAACCGGCCUCAAACCCCCCAAACCCUAGCAAUUUUGCUAUAUAUAGACCCCUUCCUUCCAUUUUGGGCAGCCUAGCCCCUCCCCUACCUCCAUUUUCCGUGCAUGGCCACCUCUUGCCCGCCACUUGGCGCCGCCGUCGCCACGUCCUUCCAGCCACUCCUAGGGCGCCACCUCAGCCAGCCGCAGCUCCCCUCCAAUCCCCUCGCGCCACAUGUCCCUGCCUCGCUCCCCCCACCAGUCAGCGCCGCCAGGACCCAGAUCGGGCCCUGGGAGGCCCACCCGAGCCCGCAUCCCGCUCCCUCUGCCCGAGCGCCCGAGCGCCUCGCCUCCUCGCCCGCUCACUCGAUCGAUCCAGAUCGGGAGAGGAGCUCCCGAUCCAGAUCGAACCCCGCCGCCUCCCGGCCUCUCGCCGCCGCCUGCACCACGGCGACCCCGCCGGAGCUGCGUCAGAUCUGGUGAGCCCCGACCUCACCGCCCUUCUUCUCUCCUUCCUCACUGCCUCUCUCUCUCCCGCAGGUUGCCGCCGCCGCCGGAGCUCCGAGGCAGCGCCGCCGACCCCUCCGCAAGCCGGAUCCGGCCCCCCCACGGCCGGAUCAGUCCGUUCCGCAGUUCGCCGGACCUACCCCGGUCCCCUCCCGGCCUCCCUGCGCUCCGGCGCCGCAGCGCCCUCUGCCAUGGCCGCCCCUUCCCCUCCUCGUGCGGGAGGACGAGGGGCACGAUGAGUGCCCGCUUGGACCGGCCCCGUUCGCGCGUGGGCCCCGCAGCCCAACCGUCAGCCCAGCCCAGCUCCUUCCACCGCCUGGCCUGCCUCCAGCCUCCACGCCGACCUGGGUCAAGCCCAUGGGUGAGGCCCCCAGCCCCAGCUCUAUUCAGAUUCGGCCCACAUAGUGUUUUUUUCCUGUUCAGCGAUUUUACUAAUUAUCCAGGAAAUUACAGAUUUGCAGAUUGGACCCUAAACUUCAUGCAUAUAAUAACUCAUGAGCCGUGCAUCAUAUUAAAAUGUUUUAUAUAUGUAAAAUGCUCAUAAAAUUGUGUAGAUUAAUAAUAUGCCAUUUUCAUCCAUGUUUAAGAUGUUUAACAUGUUGUUUGUGUUAAUUUCCAUAAAUGCCAUGGUAAAAUGCUUCAAUUCAUAACUAAAUAACCGUAGCUCGGUUUUAAAUAAACUUUAUAUGUAAAUGGGGUGGAAAAAUGCCUAGUUUAACAUGGUGCACUUUAUUUUCCUGUUUAACAACAAUAAAAUGGUGUUUAGUGCAGAACAGUACCGAAUCUAAAAUAUGCAUAUGGGGAUUUUCCGGACUUGUUGUUUGUGGUUUUCGGCCUCAUUUAAAAUUGCCUAGAUAGGUAGUUUUCAUAUGCUUCACCCCUUGCCAUGUUUAAUAACAUUUAAUAUUGUUUGGUAGCUUAAACGAGAGAGAACUAAAUAUUUGAUGUGGUGUUUUGUUAAUAUGCAACUCGAUGCAUAUUGAUCUCCACUUAACUUGUAGUAUUGUUUGGUUGCCUUUGCCAUGCCAUGCUUCAUUAAACCGGACAUGCAUCAUACUUGUUUGUGCAUCAUGCCAUGUUUAUGCUUGUGCAUUUACCAUGUUGUUUGUUUCUUUCCGGUGUUGCUUCUUAGUUCCGAUAAUGUUGCAAUUGUGAGGAUCCGUUCGACUACUUCCGUUCGUCUUCUUCAUGGACUCGUUCUUCUUCCUAGCGGGAUUUCAGCCAAGAUGACCGCUACCCUGGAUCUCACUACUAUCAUUGCUAUGCUAGUUGCUUCGUUCUAUCGCUUUGCUACGCUACCUAUCAUCUGUUUGUCGAGCCAUCCCAUGUUGCCAUGAACCUCUAACCUUUGACACCCUUCCUAGCAAACCGUUGCUUGGCUAUGUUACCGCUUUGCUCAGCCCCUCUUAUAGCGUUGCUAGUUGUAGGUGAAGUUGAAGAUUGCUCCAUGGUGGACAGGAUUUUGGUUGGGAUAUCACAAUAUCUCUUAUAUUAUUAAUGCAUCUAUAUACUUGGUAAAGGGUGGAAGGCUCGGCCUUAUGCCUGGUGUUUUGUUCCACUCUUGCCGUCCAAGUUUCCGUCAUACCGGUGUUAUGUUCCCGGAUUUUGCGUUCCUUACGCGGUCGGGUGAUUUAUGGGACCCCUUGACAGUUCGCUUUGAAUAAAACUCCUCCAGCAAGGCCCAACCUUGGUUUUACCAUUUGCCUCACCACCACCUAUAUUUCCCUUGGGAGUAAUUAACCCAAGGGUCAUCUUUAUUACAGCCCCCCCGGGCCAGUGCUUGUCUAAGUGUUGGUCCGAACUAGAGCCCUUUGCAGUGCCCCCUCAGGGAAACUUGAGGUCUGGUUUUUAGUUGUACGGAUUGCUCAUCCGGGGUUCCCUAAGAACGAGAUAUGUGCAGCUCCUAUCGGGAUUGUCGGCGCAUCGGGCGGUCUUGCUGGUCUUGUUUUACCAUUGUCGAAAUGUCUUGUAAACCGGGAUUCCGAGUCUGAUCGGGUCUUCCUGGGAGAAGGUCUAUUCCUUCGUUGAUCGCGAGAGCUUGUCAUGGGCUAAGUUGGGACACCCCUGCAGGGUAUAAUUUUUCGAAAGUCGUGCCUGUGGUUAUAGGCAGAUGGGAAUUUGUUAAUGUCCGGUUGUAGAUAACUUGACACCAGAUCCGAAUUAAAACGCAUCAACCGCGUGUGUAGCCGUGAUGGUCUCUUCUCGGCGGAGUCCGGGAAGUGAACACAGUCUUUGGGUUAUGUUUGACGUAAGUAGGAGUUCAGGAUCACCUCUUGAUCAUUGCUAGUUUCAUGACCGUUCUGCUUGUUUCUCUUCUCGCUCUCAUUUGUGUAUGUUAGCCACCAUAUAUGCUUAGUCGCUGUUGCAGCCUCAUCACUUUACCCCUUCCUUUCCCUUUAAGCUUUGCUAGUCUUGAUACCCAUGGUAAUGGGAUUGCUGAGUCCUCGUGGCUCACAGAUUACUACAACAACAGUUGCAGGUACAGGUUAUGCGAUGAUCAUGAUGCGAGAGCGAUGCUUGCUUGCGUUGAGUUCUUCUUCUGCUUCUGCUUUGAUCAGGGGAUAGGUUCCAGGUCGGCAGCCUGGGCUAGCAGGGUGGAUGUCGUUUGAGUUUCUGUUUGUGAUUCAUCCGUAGACGGAUGAUGCUCUUAUGUAUUGUAAUAUUGUAUUCGUGUGGCAUUGUAUGCCUUAUGUAUGUAUCCCCAUCUAUUAUGUAAUGUUGAUGUAAUGAUAUCCACCUUGCAAAAGCGUUUCAAUAUGCGGGUCUAUCCUUGGUGGGACCUCCGAGUUCCUUUUGGAUAGGGUCGCAUAUUGGGCGUGACACAUGUCCUCGGGAACAAACGUAACUACUCACAAAGCAUAUUCAUGUUCAUAAUCAGAGGAGUAAUAAUAUGCAUAAAGGAUCUGAACAUAUGAUCUUCCACCAAGUAAACCAAUUAGCAUCAACUACAAGGAGUAAUCAACACUACUAGCAACCCACGGGUACCAAUUUGUGGUUUUGAUACAAGAUUGGAUACAAGAGAUGAACUAGGGUUUUGAGAGGAGAUGGUGCUGGUGAAGAUGUUGAUGGAGAUUGACCCCCUCUCGAUGAAAGAUCAUUGGUGAUGACGUUGGUGAUAAUUUCCCCCUCCUAGAGGGAAGUUUCCCCGGCAGAACAGCUCUGCCGGAGCCCUAGAUUGAUUCCGCCAAGGUUCCGCCUCGUGGCGGCGGAGUUUCGUCCCAUAAGCUUGCCCACGAUUUUUUCCAGGGUAAAAGUGAUGAUAUAGCAGUAGAUGGUCGCCGGAGGCCCACCAUGGGGCCCAGGAGAUAGGGGUGCGCCCUAUAGGGCGCGCCCCUCUGUCUCCUGGACAGGGUGUGGGCCCCUGGCAUAUUUCUUUCGCUCAGAAAUUCUUAUUAAUUCUGAAAGGUUGUUUCGUGGAGUUUCAAGACUUUUGGAGCUGUGCAGAAUAGGUUUCCAAUGUUUGCUCCUUUUCCACCAGAAUUCCAGCUGCCGACAUUCCCCCUCUUCAUGGUAAACCUUGUAAAAUAAGAGAGGAUAGCCAUAAGUAUUGAGAUAUAAUGUGUAAUAACAGCCCACAAUGCAAUAUAUAUUGAUAUAAAAUCAUGAUGCAAAAUGGACGUAUCAACUAGAUGCACUUACAAUUUCCCCCUUUUUGGUGAUUGAUGACAAACUGGUUGAAGUAUUCAAUGGGGAUAAAAGUGUGUGAAAGUUCAGUUUUUUGAGCAUUGUCUUCAUAGAUCAAAAGAGGCUCCCCCUAAAUAUGUGCAUAUAAGUAGUUUGCUUUUGAAUGCAAAUGCACAAGGCAGGUUUUGCUUUGUGGAGGUCAUCUUCAAUGUAUGAAGACUAUUCAUCAUGCAUAUAUGAAAGUAAUGAAGAUAAUGAUAUGCAUAAUGAAAAAUGGACGUCUGCAGAAUGACUUCAUGCGGAAUUUAUCAUCGCAUCACAACAUAGUACCAAAAGUAGCAGACGACCAUCAAGUUUAAGUGUUACAACUCAAGAGCCAAAUAGUUUCAAGAACGAGAGUUGCUAGCCCUUAGCAAAGAUUAAGGCAACCACCCAUAUGGACCCGCUUGAAGACUACCAACCUCAUAUGCUUCUCCCCCUUUUAUUAGUAAGGACCAAAAAGAUUUGAAGACAUAGAGUUUCUACGCGUUCCCAGGUGGAGACGAAAUUGGAGCGGUAGGGUCGACGUUGGAGUUAGGUGGUGCAGAAGGGCCUAGGGCAGCAUCUUGAUGCAGUGAAGCUAAUGCUGGUGAAGUGGCAUCGUCUUCUUCAUCAACGACUCUCGCAACAACAGUUGCAGCCCAAGAUGAGUACUCAAAAUCUUCAAUGGAAGGUAUUGGACGCCAACUUGCAGAUUGUGGUGGCCUGGAGUCAAACUUGAAUUUCUCAGUGUAGCCAUCCUUGCGAAGAUCAUCUUCAGAGCAGAGGAAGGUAAGGCUCUUCCAGGACCGCCGACAGGCUUCAUGAGUAACGAAAGAAUUCUUGGUGGCCAGGUUGCGAAUGUGAUUGACAUCCACCAGAAGACUCUGCAUUUGGCGUUUCAGCCAUUCAUGAUGCUUAUCCUGCUUUUGAUGCAAAGAUACUAGAAGCUCAUGGUCAUUGAGGACACCUGAACGCUUCUGAGACCUUUGUGCAAUUGUACUGGUAGUGGCUUCAGUAUUGGCACGAUGCGGCAUACACAAGUUGCCAGCUAGGGGAUAUUUAGGAGUAGCGGAGUUUGGUACGUGAAUGUCUUCAAUAGGUUGAGCAAAGCUUUGAUAUUCAGCAUUCUAGAGAUGGAGUGGCUUCUUAGCUAGAUCAGAGUAGAUGGCUUCAUUGGACAUGUCAACAUCAGGUAGGAAUACGACAUGAUUGUGCGCUGAAGGUUGAUAGUCAACUAUGGAAUGAAGCUUGAUGAGACGCAUGAUCCAGGGGGCAUAGAACUUCAGGCCAAACAGAUCAAUUCCAAAAGCAGCCAGCUGACAAAUGAAGAAAUCCUGAGUGUUGAAUCUUAUGCCAUUGACAAUAUAGAAGACUAAUGUCUCCAUGGUGCCUUCGAGUUUAGCUCCAGAAGAGUGUCCUUUGAUUGGCCUCAGAGUAUGCCUUAGAAUGUGAUAUACUGUGCGAGGCAAGUACUUGAGGUGUUCAACAAAGAACUCUUUAGGGUAAUCAGUGUCUUGAGGCAAUGGCUUCAUCAUGCUCAGCAUCUAAUUCAUAUUUGGCUCGGGCUUCCAAAAGAUGCUUUGCAGUUCAUCUUGAUAGAGCUGACAACCUGGUUCAUAUAACUCACCAGGAGUGGGCAAGGAAGUAAGCUCAAUAACGUCCUGAGCUUUGGCUUCAUGAUGAACAUCUCCUGUCAUCCACUCAAGGACCCAAGUCUUCGGAUCCCUGUUGUAGCCUCGAAUGUGCAAAGUUGCAUAGAACUGCAGCAGAAGCUCUUUGUUCCAGUGCUCCUUGUCAGUCACAAAAGACAACAGCCCAACAUCUCUGAAACAAUCAAGUGCCUCUUCAAGACAUGGCAGACCAGCAACAGCAUCAUAAUCCAGACGCUUAUAAGGAAAAAUCUGGUCUUGGUUGUAUAGGAUAUACGAGUAAUAGCUUCAUUGCUGUCGGCUCCAAAACCUAUCAGAGGAGAUCUUGGGCUUUGUGUAUGGGUUCUUGGCACUGUCGAAGAAUGUGUUGUGCUUUGGCUUCACUAGGAAGCCUUGGCAAUCUUGGCUUUGGCUUCAAGGUCUGAGGCCUCUGCUCCACAUGAUAAUCAUAUUGUGGCCCGGGAGCAGUGGGUGGAACCAUUAUAGGCCAUCUGACAGUUACCAACUCAUCUUGAUAGAAUGCACGUUCCAUGGUAUGUGGCCUUGGUGGAGGAAUGGCGUCAUCAGAAGUGAUUGGAUGUUCAAUAUUGUCAGUUGCUACAUUGGCUUUGGGCUCCACAUUGUCUUCAGCCAUGACAGUGUCAUUGGCUUCAAUAUUGAUGUUGUGGCAGCCACAUUGGUUUCAACCUCCAUCUCUUCAACGACUGGAGGGUCUGGCACAAGCACAUUCUCGGCUUGUAUGACUAGAUCACUGGCAGGGGGAGUGGCUUCUCUUUCUUCUUCUCUUUCUUCAUCGGCUGAUGUAGCCAGAAUUUCUUCAACAGCUUUUGCUUCGGACUCUUGAACAGUCGCAGAGGGGAUGGCGUCAUGGAACACUUGACGUGCUACUGAGCCAGUUUGUUGCACAUCCUCCUCUGGUAUGAUAGACAUGGACGCCUGAGACCUGGGACCUCUGUGAAGCCUCCUGAAGGAAGGCGAAACCUAUGGUGAGGGGAUAGUGAAAUCAAAGUCGUCAGGACUUUCUUGCUGAGUCUCAAGCACCGGAGUGGUGACUUGAGCUGGAGGAGUGCGCAGAAUAGCUUCAUCAUCCAUUGGCAUAUCCUGAGUGAUUGGCGUCAUAGGACGAGGAGUUAGAGGACGACCAAUACUGAACAAUUCACUACUCGUCGGAGCAGGCGAUGAUACCAUGGGUGUAGGUUCAAGCUGAGGAAGAACUUCAUCAUCAUUCACAUUGUCUUCACGACCAAUGUCUUUAGCAGCGUUGGGGUCAGCAGCUGGAGCUUCUUCAUUUUCUGGAGCCUCUAUGGAAGCAGGCUCAUGGACUACGAGGCGGCGCUCACGGUUGGCAGAGGCAGGUAAGGCAACAGAGAUGGAUUCAACAAUGAGGGGCUCUGUGGCAGCAGCACGCUCUUUUCUUGAAGACUUUGAAGCCUUUGUCUUCAACUUAUUCUUGGAGGGAGCAUCGUCAGAUGUAUCUUUGAGCUUCCUCUUCCUGGCUUCGACUUCAUCUUGCCUAGUCUUCUUGAGUUCAGAAGCGGCAGAGGGGACCUUUGGCUUCGAGCCAGUCAUGCUGGUAGGGAAGACAAUGCUUGGUUGUCCCUGCCUUGGAGCAUCGGGAUUAGCUUCUGCAGGCUUCUUGCUUUUCUUGGUAGCCAUCCUGGGGUCGAUGCCAGGACACCCAAGAGCUUUUCUCUUUUCAGCUUCAUUGUGUGCUUGCACACAUUUUUGUGCAUAAUACUUCAUGCGCUCGCAUGAGCCUUUGGCUUCUUCAUGCUUCUUGUUGAAUUCAGCUUUGAGGUCGUUCAUCAUCUUCUUGAAGAUUUGCACAUCAGCCAUGCUGAGCUUGUGCAUGUGCUUCUUGAAGUGUGCCUUCUCAUGGUCAAUCUUGCUCUUGAGCCUGAUGAUUUUUUGAGCCAAGGCAAGUUCAUUUGUAAUGGCUCCAUGAAAGGCAACACUGAUGUCCACUGGCAGCUGCAGAUCAUCAAGGUUGAUGCGUUGGUCCUCAAAACAUUCAUCAAUGAAGUUGUUCAGAAUGUCAGCAUCAAAUAGAGGCAGAUCCUGGAAGAUCUCAGCCUCCUAUUUGCUCUUGAUCAGCUGUUCCAGAGCAUCAUCUGCAAGAUCUUCAUCACUUGACAGAUCAAUAGUGUUUUCCUCAUUGCGCAGGACGGCAGCUGGAGUGAGAGCCUGCCCAGAAACCUUCCUAGGCUUUGGCUUCUUGGUCCUCUUGGACACAUGGGACAGAUCUUCUGAUUGCACACUGGCUUUAGGCAGUGCAAUUUUCAAUGGCUUCUUCGUCGAAGCUUUUGGAGCAGCAACAGCAGAGGGCUUUGAAGCUUUGGACUUUUUCUUCUGCUUCGGUGGUGAAGGAGCAUCAUCAGAGUCUGCAUCUUCAGCAGAUUGCUCCACAAUGCCCCUCUGGGUAGCAAUGUGAGACAGAAGCCCAUCAAAGUUGGCAAAGGGGCCAAUUCUGUUUUCAUUGGCUUCACGUGUACCAUCUGACCUUAGUGCAGACGGACCAGGGUUAAAAUCGAGUCCAAACUCCUUCUUGUUCUGCUUGGCAGAAUCCUUUGCAAACUAGAAGUUGCGCUUGAAGAGAUCAUCAUCACAACACCAUAGAAGAGAUGAUGGGUCGGCAUUUUCUGGCUGAGGUCCUCGGACCAUGCAUGGAUAGAACUUCUGAGCAAUAGCUUCAGCUUUUGUCUUUGGUGCUAAGUUCUUGUAAAGAAUAUCGCCCCAUGGGCGCUUGAUGGCAUUCUUCUUAGCAUAUUCAGGUGUCACGAAGUUGUACUUGUACCACUGCUUAGCCCAAUAUCUUCGUAUCCAUUGGAUUCUGUACUUGCGUUGUGUAUAGCUCUCUUCGGGAUCAGAUUUUUAGAGCUCAUACAGAUCUGGGGGUAGGUCCAGAUCAGUAUUGCCAUGGUGUUGCCUGCCGCCUUUCCUUGCAGAUUUUUCAGUGGCCAUUGGGUUCAGACGGAUUGGCUUCAGAACAGUGAAAGGCUUCCGUCGACUUGUCAAACAAGAACUGGCUUCAGGAGAUUCAAUAUGACGCUGUAAGAAUUCUGCAAAUGAAUGUAGACUAUGAGAACCAAGGGAUUCUCCCACGGACAUGUACGUGUGAUAGCAUUAAAGAUGCGAGGGAAGGGGAAGUGGUCAUAUGCAUUCUUAGAAGAUUUUGAAGAUAAAUCAGUUAGAAGACAUUGACCUCACAGUGCGAAGACAUUCACUUAUUUGAAGGAAGUUGGUUCCAGAUUUGUACGAAUGAAUAAGUACAGGUGAGGAAUCUAACUAGUUGUGAAGCAUAAGUGAACAUACUUUGCAAGAUAUGAGAUGCAGAAAAGGAAAGAUCCAGAUUUGGAAGUUCAGAAACCACUUUUUGGGUGAAGUUGACAGAUUUGACGGAUCUAAAAGGUAGUAAAAAGCGAGUUUUAUUUACCACAGAGGAACUGCUAGACGAGGCAGAAUGGAUGUCGAGCAGUCCAAUCUCUCGUGCCCUAUCUUGGCGAUGGAAGACACCUAUGGCGGUGGCGGAGAAGACGAGGUCAGCGACCGGCGUGAGGCCGGCGUCGAAGAAGCCGCGGCAGCUAAGCGCUUCGUCUCCGGCGUCGACACGAGCUAGCGGUGGCACUAGGGUUUGAGCGAGAUGGCGAGGUGGAAGAGGGGAUAAUGACCGCAUGGGCGAGUAUUUAUAAGAAGGAGGGCAGCGCAGUGCAAUUACGCAGGUGCCCCUGGCGGUUCACAUCUGAAGGACACGUGGCAUGCAUGCAACUUAUCAGGAGUUGAACCAUGUUCCUACGCAUGCCUGGAUUGUCGGGUGGUCGUUCCGGCUUCUCCGGUUUUCAGGUAAAAGAUAAGGCAUUAAAAGCAGUCUUAAAUGUGUGUCUUUGUAUCUUCAGCUGACAAGGACACAAUGAAGAUAUUUGACAGGUGUCAACAGAAUGCAUAUGACUAGACAAAAAGAAUUUGAGGGAGUAGCACAUAAGGGAUUAGGGUCCGAUCACAUUCACUUAGGUCAGAAAAAUAGCAACUUGAAGACAUAGCUAUAAGUGAAUGUUGUAGAGGACAGAACACAUAUAUAGUAUUGAAGAUAAAUCAACAUUGCGAAGAUAUAGAUUUUGAAGACAAAUCAACGUUGAAGACAAUCCAAAUGUGAAGAUAAUGCAAUCAUGACGCCAAAUGAAAAUCUUCAAGAAAGUGUGGUGGUGGCGUUACCCACCAUAUAGGAAGUAUUAGACCCAGACACGGCGCACAAUUAUCAUGGCACUCUGAAGUUAAAUUCCACAUUAAUGUAUUCACACUCAGAGGGCAAGUCUUCAUUGAUUGAAGAAAUACGUUACUUUGCGUGUUGCACAUCUAAGUCAUCAACAUGCAUAAGCGUUAGGAUGUGUGUCCAUUCACUGGACAUUUGAGGAUUCUAAGAUAUUUAGCUCACACCGCAGCUUGCAAAACCUUUUCUCAUCCAAGGGCUUUGUGAAGAUAUCUGCCAGUUGCUCUUCAGUUUUGACGUGUAUGAUAUCAAUAUCUUCCUUGAUGACAUGAUCUCUGAGAAAGUGAUGAUGAAUCUCAAUGUGCUUUGUCUUCGAGUGCUGAACUGGAUUCUUGGCAAUCUUGAUGGUGCUUUCAUUGUCGCAGAAGAGUGGCACAUUCUUCAUGUUGAUGCCAUAAUCCUUGAGAGUUUGCUUCAUCCAGAGAAGCUGAGCACAGCAAGAUCCAGCAGCAAUGUAUUCAAAUUCAGCAGUGGAGAGGGAUACACAGUUAUGCUUCUUUGAAGACCAACAGACAAGAGAUCGUCCAAGAAAGUAACAUGUGCCUGAUGUAGACUUGCAAUCAACUUUGUCACCAGCAUAAUCAACAUCUCAGUAUCCAACUAGAUCAAACGAUGAGCCCUUUGGAUACCAUAAUCCUAGUGUUGGGGUGUGAGCCAAAUUUCGAAGAAUCCGCUUCAUAGCAAGGUGAUGCGAUUCCUUUGGUGCCGCUUGGAAUCGGGCACACAUGCAAAUGAUAAGCAUAAUAUUAGGCCUAGAUGCACAUAAGUAUAGUAAAGAACCAAUCAUGAAGCGGUAUACCUUUUGAUCGAACUCUUUACCGUUGUCGUCAGGGCCAAGAUGACUUUCGGUUGGCAUUGGCGUUGUGUACCCUUUGCAGUCUUGCAUUCCAAACUUUUUCAGGCAAUCUUUGAGGUAUUUUUGUUGUGAUACGAAGAUGCCAUUGCAUUGUUGAUGGAUUUGAAGACCAAGGAAGAACUUCAGCUCUCCCAUCAUGGACAUCUGAUAUUGCUCUUGCAUCAUGUAUCCAAAUUCAUCACUGUAUCUCUUAUUAGUGCAGCCGAAGAUGGUGUCAUCCACAUAUAUUUGACACACAAGCAGUUCGCCAUCAUAUGUUCUUCGUGAAGAGAGAGGGAUCUAGAGAACCAGGUUUGAAGCCUUUGCUCUUCAGGAAUUCUUUGAGUGUGUCAUACCAGGCAUGAGGUGCUUGUUUGAGGCCAUAUAGUGCCUUGUUGAGCUUGUACACCAUAUCAGGAUGCUUUGGAUCUUCAAAACCAGGCGGUUGAGCGGCAUACACUUCUUCUUAGAUUUUGCCGUUGAGAAAGCCACUCUUCACAUCCAUUUGAUACAGAAGAAUGUUGUGAUGGUUAGCAUAGGUCAGCAGUAUGCAAAUGGCUUCAAGCCUAGCCACAGGAGCAAAGGUUUCAUCAAAGUCGAUUCCUUCCACUUGUGUGUAACCUUGAGCGAUGAGGCGAGCUUUGUUUCUGACAACUUGUCCAAGUUGUAUUGCUUGUUGUGAUAGAUCCAUUUCGUGCCAAUGAUAUUGUGCUUGCGAGGAUCGGGACGUUUGACAAGCUCCCAUACAUUAUUCAGCUCAAACUGUUGAAGCUCUUCUUGCAUGGCUUGAAUCCAUUCAGGUUCCAUGAAGGCUUCUUCGACUUUCUUGGGUUCAGACACAAAGACAAAAGCAAAGUGAUCGCAGAAAUUUGCCAGUUGCAUAGCUCUUGAUCGAGUGAGAGGACCAGGUGCAUUGAUGCUAUCGAUAAUCUUCUCAAUCUGGACUUCAUUUGCGACCCGAGGAUGAGCUGGACGAAGAUUUUGAUCAGACUGACUAUCGUCUUCAUCUUCAGCAUUGGCUUCAGACUAAGCAUUGUAUUCAUGUUGGUUAGGUGCAGAAAUGAUGAUCUCAUCCUAAGCCUGUUCCUCGAUGGGUAUGAUUUCUCCAGUACCCAUCAACCUGAUAGCUUGUGUAGCUUCAUCUAGCACAUCAGGCAGGUUCUAUCUUUGCGAACCGUUAGUUUCAUCGAACCGCACAUCUACAGUUUCAACCACUUUGUAGCGAAAGAGGUUGAAGACUCUGUAGGUGUGCGAGUCCUUUCCUUAACCAAGCAUAAAACCUUCAUGUGCUUUCGGUGCGAAUUUAGACGUGUGAUGUGGAUCCUUGAUCCAGCACCUAGCACCAAAGACUUUGAAGUAACUGACGUUUGGCUUCUUACCAGUCAAAAGUUCAUAAGAUGUUUUCUUGAAGAACUUAUGAAGAUAGACUCUGUUGAUGAUGUGGCAUGCAAUAUCAAUGGCUUGGGGCCGGAAUUUUCUUGGAGUCUUGUAUUCAUCAAGCAUCGUUCGUGCCAUCUCAAUGAGCAUUCUGUUCUUGCGAUCCACUAUGCCAUUCUACUGAGGUGUGUAAGGAGUAGAGAACUCAUGUGUGAUGCCCAAGGUAUCAAGAUAAGUGUCGAGGCCAGUGUUCUUGAACUUAGUGCCAUUGUCACUCCGGAUGUGCUUGAUCUUGAUGCCAUAAUUCGUCAUGGCCCGAUUUGCGAAGCGUCUGAAGACAUCCUGCACUUCAGUCUUAUAGAGAAUUAUGUGUACCCAGGUGUAUCUCGAAUAAUCAUUAACAAUAACGAAGCCAUAGAUAUGUGCAGUGGUAGUAAGGGUAGAGUCAUGAGUAGGGCCAAAUAAGUCCAUGUGAAGCAGCUCGAAGGGAUGUGAGGUAGUCAUGAUUGUCUUCGAGGGAUCCUUGGCUCUAGUCAUCUUACCAGCUUCACAAGCACCACAUAGAUGAUCCUUCUUGAACUUGACGCCCUCAAUGCCAAUGAUGUGCUUCUUCUUCGCAAGAGUGUACAGGUUCCUCAUGCCCGCAUGUCCUAGCCGUCGAUGCCAUAGCCAGCAUUCUGAAGCCUUUGCUAGAAGACAUACGGCAAGUUGUGGUCCUGCUGAGAAAUCUACCAUAUACAGAUCACCUCUUCGAUAGCCUUCGAAGACUAGAGAUUUGUCAGAUUCCAUUAGCACAAGACAACGAUAUUUUCCAAAUAUCACAAUCAUGUUCAGAUCACAGAGCAUUGACACAGACAUUAAGUUGUAUCCAAGGGAUUCAACAAGCAUCACUUUGUCCAUGUGCUGAUCCUUUGAGAUAACAAUUGUACCAAGACCCAAUACCUUGCUUUUACCUGUGUUAGUGAAUGUGUUGUGGCUCUUAGUAGAUGGAUGUAGGGUUCAAUCCAUAAGAAGACUUCGAUCACCAGUCAUGUGGUUGGUGCAGCCGUUGUCCAUGAUCCAUUCAGUGGCUUUCGGAGUUGUACCCUAUAGUGCAGUUAGCGGGAUAGGCUUCACCAAGAGUAUUGUGAAGCAGAAACAUGUAGCGAACAAGCAUAUUAUCAAAGUUUAUAUUCUGGUUAGGCAUGAUAGGAUGCUUGUUAAGGAACUCUGGGACGAAAUACAUGGUAAGACCAUUGAGGCAUUUUAUCUUGCAUCCCACAGGAUGUUUUAGGUCUCCAGCAUUGGCGUCAGAAGUCUUUGAUUUCCGGCUGGAGACCUUUCCCUGCCAGAGAAGUUAAUUCUUUUUAACCACCCACAUCUUCAGGGGUGGCUUAGAAGCAAUGAGUCUAAGUGCAGCAUCUGAGAACUUUGGCUUGGGAGCCCUAGCAAAUAGCUUCGCAGGAGGAGAAUAGUACUCAUAUGAAUAUGCAGAAAAGUUCUUAGUUUUGUGAACAUGGCGGUUAGAGGAAACACGCUCAUAUUCAUGAGUCUCAUAAAGGUUCUCCUGUAAAACAUUGGCGUUAGGGUGACCAUGAGUGGUCCUAUGUAUGUAUGAAGCCUUUGGGCCAUAUGAUGCCUUUGGUUUGGGGUUUGUCUUCUUCCCAGGUGGUGUCAUUACGACAUUCACGAGAAGCUUCUCAAGACAACUUUUGGGCACCCAGAUCUUCUUCUGGGAUAGCCCGUUCCUGCAGUUAGUACCAAUGUACCUGGCAAACACUUCACCAUUCUGAUUCUUAAGCAUUUUAUAAUUGGCAUCAAAGGAUUCAUCAAUGACAAUUGGGUUAGCACAAGUGAAGCCAGAUAAAGUGGAUGGAUCCACAGAAGGAUCCUUAGCAGCAACCCAAGUGGUUUUGGGGUACUACUCAAGCAUCCAGUAUGAACCAUCAACGUUCAUUUCCCUCUCGAACCCAACACCCUCUUUCCUAGGGUUUCGGUUCAGAAUCUGUUUUUUGAGGACAUCGCACAAAGUCUGAUGCCCUUUGAGGUUCUUGUACAUGCCAGUCUCAAGCAAUGUCUUCAACCUAGCAUUCUCAUGAGCAAUAGUAGUGGCAUCCUCAGAAGAGGGGUUAGUUACCACAUCAUCAGUUGAAGAUAUUGCAACAUUAGAAGUAGUAGAACAUCCAGCAACUGAGACAACAUUAUCACGCACAAGACAUUUUAAACAUGGUGGAACAAAUUCUACCUGAGUGGAACUAAUCUGUUGGGCGAGCAGUGAAUCGUUCUCUUUUUGAAGAUCUUCAUGAGACACUCUCAGUUUCUCAAGGUCUUGCUUCCUUUGAAGAUAAUCGUAGGAAUGCUUCUCAUGAGAGGCUGAGAGAGUUUCAUGACGACUUUGAACUUCUUCAUACUUAACGCGAAGACUUUUAAUAUCUUCAAUUAAGGACUGAGUUUGAUUCAUUUCCACGUCCAACAGGUCAUCGCUUUUGUCUAACAGCUUUAAAUAUGUUCCGUAGCAGUUUGUUGCUCAGUUGCAAUUUUAGCAAGUGUUUUAUAUCUAGCUUUGGAUUCACAAUCAGAGUCAUCUUCACUAGAGGUUUGGAAAUAGGCAUCUCGUGAGGUUACCUUGGCACCACGUGCCAUGAAGCAGUAGGUUGGAGUAGAUGGCUCGGGUUUAAAAGUCAUCGUUUUAAGAGACUCCUUGAAAUCGCAGAACCAGGGGUCUUGACGAGUUUGAUGACCUUCAUAAACAUCAGAAAUUCGGUCCCAUAUAAGCUUUGCAUUGCAGAGAUGCAUGAUGCGCAUGAACUCGUCAUUGGACAGGCAGGAGCAUAUGAUAUCCUUAGCCAUGAUAUCCAGCUGAGUGUACUUGCAAAUGUUGUCGGCAUGCGCCAUCUUGCAUAGAUCGGUGAGACCAAUCUCUGUGACGGUCCACAGUUCACUGUUCAUUGCAAGGAGGCGCUUCCUCAUCAGGGCCUUCCAUUUGGGAUAAUCAUGACCAUCAGAAAUAGGACACGCAGCGGAGACCUUGAUUAUCCCUGUAGUCAACAUAGCUAAAACUCCAGGUGGUUAAACCGAAUCACACAGAACAAGGGACUACCUUGCUCUGAUACCAAUUGAAAGUGCUAGUUAUCGACUAGAGGGGGUGAAUAGGCGAUUUUUGUGAAAGUCUUCAAAACACGAUGGAUUUUAAGACAAACAAGUAAACUGAACCUAUAUAGUAAGCAACAGAAUGAAAACUACACUAGGCAAGCAUUAGUCAAGCAUACAAUACAGUGGAAGCACGAAGACUAACUACAACUAGGUAGACAUGAUCAGGAUGGAAGACAGUACGAAGCCAAACAGAUACGAGUCUUCACACAGUGAAGUCAAAUGAAUCACGUAGGCAAGCAAUGACUUCACGAAGACAAACUGAAGAGUAAUGAGAGUAGGGGAUAGAACCAGUUGCUUGGUGAAGACAAGGAUUUGGUAGACCAGUUCCAGUUGUUAUGACAACUAUACGUCUGUUUAGGGAGGCUGAGAUUGAACUCAGAAGACCGUUUCUUCACCUUAUUCCCCUUGAGCUAAGGACACCCAGUCCUCGCCCAAUCACUCUGGUAAGUCUUCAAGGUAGACUUACAAACCUUCACAAACUUCGUUCACCGGCAAUCCACAAUGACUCUUGGAUGCUCAAAACGCGACGCCUAACCGGCUGGAGGAUUCACAGUCCUCAAGUGUAACAAGUCUUUAGAUUACGCGGACAGAAAGACUUCAGUGAUGCCUAACACUCUUUGGCUUUGGGUGUUUUGGGCUUAGUCCUCGCAAGGAUCUCUCUCUCUCAAAUGCUUCAGAGGUGGGUUGCUCUCAAAUGAGAAAAGCCAUGCACUAACUCUAAGGAGCCACCAAUUUAUGGUGUAGGGGGUAGGCUAUUUAUAGCUAAGUGGCAACCCGACCUGAUAUGUCUGAAAUGACCCUGGGUCACUAAGGAACCGACACGUGUCCAAUGGUGGGAUUUCAAACACACGUGGCAGCUUGGCUUGGGCUACAAGCAAAGCUGACUCAUCCAGCUCUGGAUAAGAUUUGCUCUCAUUGUCUUCGCUCGAAGACAUAGGAUUUGGUUGAGCAUCACAUCAGUCACUCUGACUUUGUUCACUUGGACCCCACUUAACAGUAUGGUGGUUCCUAUGACUCAAUAAAGAAGAAAGGAAACUACAAAAUAGCUAUGUCUUCACACUCCAUAGUCUUCAAGUGAAUAUCUUCACAUGUCAUAAUCUUCAUCGUGAAUGUCUUCAUGAACCACCAUUGUCUUCAAUGUCUUCACACAUUUUUAGGGGUCAUCUCUGGUAGGUAAACCGAAUCAAUGAGGGACUACUACUUGUGUUAUCCUGCAAUUCUCACAAACACAUUAGUCCCUCAACCACGUACGUCGUCAAUACUCCAAAACCAACUAGGGGUGUCACUAGAUGCACUUACAAUUAGUAGCAUGGGCAUUCUCAAUUAGAAUGAAGGGAGUACACGUGGAAAUCUCCUUGGUUAGCCUCACUUGGAGUUGAUCAUGACACUCUUUGGGAGAAGCAUGAACGCCCUUCAAGACCUUGUGACCCUUGUCAAGUGUAUCAAAUUCUUCCUUGAGUCUAUCAUGGCCAACCCCAAGUGCAACUUUCUCGGAAUUAAGCACACGAGUAAGAACAAUAGCAUGAUCAAGAUCUUUUUGCAAUUUAGCAUGAUCCAUGAUGUGUGACUCCUCAAGAGUCAAACGAAGAUCUCGCUCUCCCUCCAGAGCAAUGGAAAGAUCCGCAAUCUCAUCGGCAUAGUCACGACUAUGCCCCUCCAACUUGGAGAUAGUAUCCUCAUGCGAAUCAAUGAUAUCAUUGGCCUCACCAAGUUGUUCCAAGAGAGCAACAAAGUGCUUCUUUGAUUCACCCUUGAGCUUGCUCACAAACUUGGUGAACGCAUUCUCAUUAACUUUUACCACCUCACUAUCAUCAACACAAUCUAACAAUGAAGGAGUAGUAAUGAUGGUGGUUUUGAUGUUAGGAGUUACCUUGUUGAUACCUUUGGCCAUGAGACACUUGGCAAUGAUGUUUUCAUUGGGGGCGCCGAAGAGAGACACCUUGGAGGGGGAAGAAGUAGAAAUGGCAAUGGUUGCCGUUGCUAUUCCCUCUCCACUUGUAUCUUCCUCAUCAUCAUCGGAGGGGUACUCUUCAUGUGCCACCAAGCCCUUUGGAGGAGUCUUUUUGGUGAAGUUGUUCUUGCUAGGGAACGACUUGGCUUUGUCUUUGUGAAUGAGUUUGCCACCAUUGUCUUCCAUCUUCUCAUACGGGCACUCCACCACAAAGUGACCCACAUUGCCUCAAUUGUAGCAAGUCCUUACUCGUUUCUUGUUCUUUGACCCACUUGAGUUGUUCUUGGUGAAGUUGGGCCUUGAGUUCCUCUUGUUGCUCCAAAAUUGCCUUGAUGCAAGAGCCAUGUGCUCAUGGUAAGCAUAUUUGGUGUCCUCGGGGCAACACUCCUCUUCUUCCUCCUCUUCCUCUUCCGGAAGUACCUUGGCCUUCAAAGCAAGGGCAGUUGAGAUUUUCUUUGACCGGACACGAGCAAGAGCAUUGUCGGUGGUCUUGUUCAUGAUGUUCAUGGCAAUAAACUCAUCCAACACUUCACUUGAGGUUAAGGUGUGAAAGUCCGGCCUUUGACGAAUCACGGAAGACAUGGCCUUGUUGAAUGGCAUGAUGGCCUUGAGAAACUUGCGCUUGAUCCAAGUGUCAUCCGUAUCCUUGCUCCCAUGGUCUUGGAGAGCAACCGCAAGAGUUGUCACCCUCCGAUAGAGAUCACGCGGAUCCUCAUCUUCUAGCAUCACGAAUUCAUCAGCCUCAUCAAGGACCACUUCAAAGUUGGACCGUUGGAUGCUUGAGCUCCCCUUGUACAUAGAUACAAUGUGUUCCCCACAAACCUUUGCACGCGUGAAGGGAUGCAAGUGGGAUAGAUCUUCGGGUGGGGCCGCAUCUUGAAGGAUGAACAAAGCAAAGUGAUUGUAUUGAUUUUCCACUUCUUCUCUUAGGGUGAAGUUGUUUGGAUCAUGCGGGUAGAAGCCUUGCUCAAUGAUUCUUCAAAAGUUUGAGUUGUGAUUCAAAUGAGACUUGAUGCGAAAGACCCAAUUAGUAAAAUCACCUUUAACAAGCUUGGGAGGAGGACCGUGAUUAUUAAUGCGAGGUGUAGGGACCGGUCCUCCAUAGACCGAGGGGGGGGCGGACCGAGCCAAAGGUUCCCAUCCCAUUCUUGUCAUGAGGGGAAGGAACAUGAGUACCUUCAGCCGCUUCCUUGGCGGAAUUGGCCUCCGACUCCGAUGUCGUGGGAUUAACCACAAGCAAGGGGUUGGGAGUGGAUUUCAUCCCCUCAAGCAAUUCUUUAAGCAUAGACUUGACUUCGGUCGUCAUAGAUGUCUUAAGUGAAGCCAUAGCUUCAUUUAAGUCAUCUUGUGUGAUUGAAGUCAACUCCAUGGCCUCGGGCACUUCCUCCUCAGUGUCAACCAUACUCUUCGGGUGGUGAAACCCUUAAUAAAGAGACAAGGCUCUGAUACCAAUUUAAAGGAUCGAUAUGGUUGACUAGAGGGGGGGUGAAUAGGCAACUACCAAAUUUUAACUUUUCUUAACAAAUUAGGGUUAGCAACAAAGGUUGUCUAGAUGUGAAACUAGGUGAGCAACAUAUAUGAUGCUAAGAACAACAAGUGCAAGCAAAUGAUACAACACAACAAUAGCUUGCACAAAGUAAAGGUAAGUGAUUACCAUAAGUGGAGCGGGUUGAGACGAGGAUAUGUUACCGAAGUUCCUUCCCUUUGAGGGAAACUACGUCUCCGUUGGAGCGUGUGGAGGAACAAUUCUCCCCAAGAAGCCACUAGGGGGCCCGUAUUCUCCUCACGCCCUCACACAAUGCAAGAUGUCGUGAUUCCACUAGUGUUGCCCUUGAAUGCGGCAACCGAACCUUUACAAACAAGGUUGGGGCUCUCUCCACAACCGAAUUGGAGGCUCCCAACGAACCAUGGAGCUUCACCACAAUGGAAUGCGGCUCCGGGGUGAUCUCAACCGUCUAGAGUGCUCAAACAACCAAGAGUAAUAAGAUCCACAAGGGAUCAGUGGGGGGAAUCAAAAUUCUCUUGGUGGAAGUGUAGAUCGGGGCCUUCUCAACGAAUCCCUAGAAAAUCAACAAGUUUGAUUGGCUAAGGAGAGAGAUCGGGCGAAAAUGAGCUUUGGAUCAAUAUGGAGUUUGGGGGAGGAAGAGGUAAGUCUUCUUGGGGAAGAAGACCCCCUUUUAUAGUGGGGGAACAAUCCAACUGUUAUCCCCUCUUUCAGCCCGCAGCGAGCGGUACUACUGCUCAAGGGAGCGGUACUACCACUAGCGGCAGCAGUACUACCGCUUGGCCCAGCGGUACUACCACUGGGACCGCGCACAGCACCUGCAAAGGAAAAGCAAGAAGGAACGGAGGAGAGGGCCUUUGAGCGGCACUAGUAGCGGUAGUAGGUGUGGUACUACCGCUCCUACUACCGUUGCUACUGCCGCUGAACCCGACACGAGAGACGCAGGUCUCGAGUCGAGGCGGUACUAACGCGGCACCAGAGUGGUACUACCGCCUGUGGCCCUGGGCGGUACUACCGCCUAUGGCUUUCAGCGGUACUGCCGCUCUGGGCCACGGUACUGCCGCUGGCACCUCCCCUAUGCCACUUCCACGAUAACAAGGAUACUCCAAGGAUGAGGGAAGGAGCGGUGGGUGCAGAAGAGAUGUGUACGUGUUGAUUCCACCCUAGCCUUUCAGAUACGGACCCUCUCUUGAUAGUACGGUAUCUCCUAUGACUCAAGUCCACCAAAACUGAAACUAAAGAGAACUACAUCGUCUUUACUUUGAGCUCCGAGGGGAAUAAAUCGUCUCGUGCCAAUGAAUGAAUAUCUGAAAUGCUCAACGCACACGAUUAGUCCGCAAAUGCAUUGUCAGCAAACAUCAAAACCACUUAGAGAGAGAUAUGCCCUAACACGUGUGAUGGCGUGUCUUCAUCAAAUCUCGCGGAUUCGGUUUGGUGGAUCUAUUAGGAUCCAGUCUUUGUUCAUCUUCGGUCGUGUGUCUACAUGUUUCAGUAUUUCAACCUACUCUUUUCUCGAUCGCUGACGGUUGUUGUUCUGGUGCGCUGACCUAUUGAGGCUUUAGCAUGAUGAUUCCCCGACUUUCUACUAACAAGUUUUGCCCGGCUCCGACGAGGGAGGAGGGUGACGGUGACGCGCUGUUGGCUCGCUCCAGUAUUUAUAGUUGUCGCUACCUGGUCCACGAACCUGAUUGUAUUUUGUGUUAUUUCCGGUAUUCUUUGUACUGUCAUGACAUACAACAACUAGACUCGAAGUUUCUGAAAAAUAUAUUAAUAGUGUGGUUGUUGGCGAAGUAAUUUCAAAUUUUCACUUUCGUAAUGUACAAUUGGGCUUUGGAGAGCUAUUUCCUAGAAACACCCUUAAAUUUACGGAAACACUAACGCCCACAUAUGUGGGCGUCCGACAACUCGCUCACAUGUAUGGAUCCUCGUCCAAUCAAUUCUGCACGAAUCUUGGCGCGUUCUAGCAGUUUUUGUGUGCCACGUAGGACUGAGAUGGUGUGUGGGCAUUCAUCCGGUCGCCCACACGUCCUUUUUCACCACACGGGGGGCUGGUGUGUGGGCGUUUAGCAAUUCGCCCACACACCAGUUUUCACGCACGCAGAGGGGCUAGUGUGUGGGUGUUUAUCACUUCGCCCACACGCCCGUCUCCUUGCCCACACCCAAAUCUGUCUGUUGCCAUGUGUUUCUGCAGGGUACAUGGCAACUGCCCUAGCUUUUCUUGUAAGCAGAUGUCAACUCUUUUUUACCGGAAUUGCCAUGUGUUUUUGCAUGGUACAUGGCAACUGCCCUAGCGUGCACGUAAGCAGAUGACAACUCUCUCUUUUACAUGCCAACUGCCCUAGCGUGCUUGUGAGCACAUGACAACUCUUUCUUUUACCCGAACAUGUUUUUUUGCCAUGCCUUUUUUGGAGUGCUACAUGGCAACUGCCUAGUGUUAGUAGGUGUCAACUUCUAAAGUUUUGAAAUCAUGGCAACUGCAAUAGACCAGACCAUACAUGGCAACUGCCUAGUGUUAGUAGGUGGCAACUCCUAAAGUUUUGAAAUGACGACAACUGCAGUAGACCAGACCAUACAUGACAACUGUAGUUGAGCAACCAUGGCAAUUGUAGUUGUCCGACAUGGCAACUGUAAUUCAACGACAUGGCAACUACAGUUAAACGGACACUGAAGAGGGUCCGGACCAUGGCAACUGCAGGGACGCGUGGUGACUGUCACGCGGGGCGUGCGGGACCGUGAGGUAGGUGGCUGAGAGAGGUCGUGUAGGCGUUAUCCAUUUUGCCCACACGUAUGCGUGUAAGAGGGACCGCGAGAAAAAAAAGAUGCGUGUAGAUGCUAGUUGUUUUGCCCACAUGUAAACGUGUGAACUGGUCCUCUUAAACACCACACAAAACGUGUGGCCAGAUCCCUUAACGUCCACACGUGUAGGCGUUAUCGGCAUCCUAAAUUUAUCUCAUUUUUUAACGGGGUCUAUGAAAUUGGAGAUAUUUCAGUUUCGGGUGUUUGUUUGUGGAACAAGAUAAAACCCAGCUCCAAAGUCCCAAACAGCUUCAGCCCCUCACCUCCUGCUACUCUUCCUUCACCCCCUCCACCCCUCUCCGCGGGCGCUCCACUCCCCGGCCGGCCGGCGGCGAUGACGAGCCUGCAGGCGGCCCCGCGCCUCAGCCUCCACCUGACCCCGUCCGAACACCGUGGCCGGCUGCUUCCGCCGUGGAGGCUCGUCCUCUCCCCCUCCUCCUGCAGGUAGGCGCGCUUCCUCGCUCGCUCUUAAUGGCAUUGGUUCUGUACUAGUAUCGUAGUAUUAAUUGAGUAGGGAUUGGAGCUUGUCCGAUGUUUCCUCGUGAUUAUACGGUAUGAUGGAUGCCCUGCAAUUUGAGAGGAUCGGUGCAAAUCUUAGUCGAGAUUUGUAUAAGAAUAUUAGUAAUAGAUUUAGUUUAGGAAUCCAAUAACUCCCGAACGUUCGGAUUUUGAGCAUUUCGUCCCGAACGUUUUUACAUGGCAACUUUAAUUCAUAGGGGAUGGCAACUUCGUCCUUUUUCGUUUUUUUUUGUCAGAAAAUUGCCAUGUUUCCUUAAUCUCACGCAAACUAAACUUGCCAUCUAAACCCGUUCGGGUUGUCAUGCUUAACUCCCGAACGUUCGGGAGUUAUAAUUACCGUUAGUUUAUUGGUCUCCAAUUUGAAUUGCCUCAGUAAAUGCGAAAAAGAUAAUUGUGCGGCAUCGUCUAUAAUAUAUGUAAACUUUUUCAAAACAUGGAUUUGUAUGUAAACUCGUGUACUACCUGGGAAGGAGCUCAAUCAUUGGUAACUGGGCACUGUACUGCUUCUUUUUGAUUUAAGAGACGUUGAAAGGAUAAUCCACCAAACAUCUACUUAAGAUUUCCAUACCGUAUUUCAUUAGUUACUGGCUCCAGCAUUACUAAUAGCGGUCUUCUGUUUAUACAGGCUUUACACUCUCAUUUCCAGACAACAUCCCAUUUGCAAUGCACAAUCAUGUGAGGUUAUCUGUUUAUCUCUUCUUAAAAGAUCUCCUCCAUGGGAGUAUGUCGCAUACACAAGUUAUAUUUAUGGUCCACAUCAACUAUGUUGCAGAUGCUGAUGAUUUACUGGUAGCCAGUGCCCAAAGCUCCACAACUGCUCUCUCAAGGUUGCUUGCUGCAGAAAGAGAGGAAGCGAAAGCUGUGCUAUCGCUGUUCUUAAGGCAGAAAGGUUUGAGAAGUGCGGUAGCUGCACGGAUUGCCAACAAAUCAGAUGGAUUCAUUGAGCACCUGAGUUCAAAGCUCCAAAGUGCUUACAGAUCUCGAUAUGCUGAAGGUUCGUAUCUUGAAGUUGCUAUCUAUAAACUUUGUACCUUAUAGGUUCUGAACAUUUCACAACAUAUUUAUUUUUCAGGAAGGGAGCUGAGUACACCUGAGAUCAGAGAUGCUCUCCUUCCCUAUCUAGAAGCUCUUUCUAAAGAACAUGGGGAUAGUUUGGUCGAAGUGGUGGAGAAUUUCCCUGAUCCUUUUUCCGCGGAAAGGGAGUCCUUGUCUUACUCAAUGAUACUUACACCAACGAGCUCAAAUAAGCAGAAGGCAAUUGCUCGAGUAAGCACACCAACCUCAGGGGGAGCCCUCCCGGAGUUAGUGCUCUACCUACUGGACUACGGCAUGGAUCAUGAGGAGAUCAAGAAUGUCGUGCGCAAGUUCCCAGCAUUUGCGUACUACAAUGUGGAUCGCAAGAUAAAGCCCCUGGUGGAGCUACUGCUUGAGCUUGGUGUGCCGAGGUCAGGCAUACCCGGAAUCAUCAGGAAGAGGCCUCAGCUAUGUGGAAUCAGCUUGACAGAUAAUCUGAAACCUAUGAUGGCCUAUAUGGAGAAUAUCGGUGUCAACAAAGCUCAGUGGAGCAAGGUGAUAUGCCGGUUCCCUGCAUUUCUCACAUAUAGCAGGCAGAAGGUGGAGAUAACUGUGAGCUACCUUACUGAACUAGGAGUUUCUAAGGAAAACAUCGGCAAGAUUCUCACACGAUGUCCUCAUCUCAUGAGCUACAGUGUCAAUGACAACCUCAGACCAACUGCUGACUACUUCCGGUCGAUCGGCGCAGAUGCUGCAUCUCUUAUUCAGAAAUGUCCCCAGGCUUUUGGUUUGAACAUAGAGUCAAAGCUGAAGCCGAUCACAGAGUUUUUCCUGGAGAGGGAGUUCAGCAUCGAGGAAAUUGGCAUUAUGGUAAAUAGAUUUGGGAUUAUUCACACUCUCAGCUUGCAAGAAAAUUUGAUUCCCAAAUAUGAAUAUUUUCUGACGAUGGGGUACCCAAGGUAUGAACUCGUGAAAUUUCCGCAGUACUUUGGGUACAGUUUAGAGCAGAGGAUAAAACCUCGGUAUGCUCGGAUGACUGGUUGUGGGGUGAGGUUGAUUCUGAACCAGAUGUUGUCAGUCUCAGAAACCAGAUUUGAGGAAAUUCUACAAAAGAAAUCAGGUGGAUUUUGAUAUGAUCACAAUCUCAGAAAAGCACAAGUUUUGACUUAAUAGCCUGGUAGAUGGAUAGUUUUCAGCACACAAGAACUAUGUUGGAAAUUUGUACUUCGCCAUGCUCUUUUGUAGUUGCAUGGCAGUUGAUGGACGUGCGGCAUUUGAGAGGAACAGUUUUGAUAUACUUCCUCCGUUCCUAAAUAUAAGUCUUUGUAGAGAUUUUAUUAUGAACUAUAUACGGAUGUAUGUAGAUGCAUUUUAAGUGUGGAUUCAUUUAUUUUGCUCCGUAUGUAGUCCAUCUAAUGGAAUAUCUAUAAAGACUUACAUUUAGGAACGGAGGGAGUAUAUAACUACUUCGUCAUGCUCUUUUGUGCUUGCACGGCGGUUGAUGGACUCGCAGCAUUUGGAGAGGAACAGCUUUGAUAUAUAACUGUUUACAGUUGGUGGCUUAGGUGGCUAGUUUAGGUGACUUCCCUCAGUUGGCAAUAUCAAAUGCGGUUGUUCGAUACUACAAGUUCUUGUUGGCCCGUUUAUGUUUCUAUCUGCUACUGAUUUAUUUUUUAUGAACAUUAUUUCUUCCAUCAUAUAUUCUACUCUCUCCAUUCACAAAUAUAAAAUGCUCUACUCCUUCCUAUCUAUG